CACCACCAUCUUGAUAGUUAAACAAUUUCACUGUAAAAGCUAUUAAACUUAGCAGGAAAAAAAAUUUAAACUUUAUCUAACAUUUGAAUCUACAAUUUUCAAUUAGCAACUCUUGUCACAAAUGUUUAUUAGUGGGGUACGUUCUAAGAUAUUGUUAUUUGCUAAUUGUCGAGGAUUAUUUGGGAGUUAAAUCUCACAAGAAGGCGUAAAGAUCACAUUAGAAUUAGAUAUUUUACUAGGAAGCUAAAGAUCACAUUAGAACCACCCGCAGGAAUACAAAAAAACGACAUACCUUAUAGUCCAGUUGAUCAAAACCCUUGCAAACAAAUUCGAACAAGGUUCUUAAGUUCUCAGGGCUGGGUGCAGUUACAAAUAUAUUUGAAUACCUGUGAAGAUAUAUUUGUAUCGUCAAAACAUAGUACAUGAAUAUGAGUGUAGACAGCUACACAUACACCAAAACAGUUUUAAUACAUUGUAAAAGGCAUACUACCCUGCAGCAAUAGCUCCGGAAAUUGCCAAACCAAGUGCAGCCGAUUUUCCACGGCCUCGAGCAGCAAGCAAGGCAACAGUACUUCGGAGUGUCUUGUCCAAGAUUGCAUCAAGAAAUGUAGCAACAGCAUUUCCCUGUUGAAACAUUUACCAACUCAAACUAUGAGUCAUAUUAGUAAAUCACACAUGAUAGAAAAACUCAAAACUAAUACAAAUCAGAGAGAGUGCCUACCUGGUCCAACGUACAACAUUUCUUUAUUAAAGGGCCAACAGGAAAGGCAUCACUCAGCUGCUCUUUUAGAUCCUUCAGUUCCCUUUGUGACUCUGAUAUCCCUUCAGAGUCCUUCAAUCAUGAUCAGAAAACAAGAAAAAAGUUAUCAAAGUUAUCAAAGCUUCACAAACUCCUAGAAAGUAUCCUAAUAACCAUUCGGUAUACACACACUUGAAAAAUUACUUUUAUUCUUUUUGUCAUCUCGCAUAAGAUGCCACGAAAAUAAAGCAUUCCUCGAUUUAUCAGUUCCGUCCUAUAGAAAAGUUACAAGGCUAAAAGGUUACCUCUUUCACUGGAACUGGGGUAAUUGACCUCAUAUGAGAUGAAAUUGGUAAAAUAUUCAGCUCAUCAUCCAUUACUACACAUGAUUUGCAUGACGCAAGUGACAAUAAGAAACGCUCGUUAAAACGUCCAGUAGCCUUAGAAUGGGAUUCAGUUCGAAACCUAUCAUGAACAUCCUGAAAUCAAGAGGCGCUGAUAAGACUGUAUGGAGAUUUUUGCAUUUGAGAGAACGAGAAAGACAGUGUUGCAAAUAAAACAUGACAUAACGGAAUUGUUAUCAAAUAUAAUAUGUGGUGCAUGGCUAUUGCUAUAUUCGUUCUAAGUCCAUAAUGUAGUAAAACUAGAAACUACCUCAACAAGAAGAACAAAUAUUAUGAGGAAACCUAGUUGUUUUUUCUUCUUCUUUUUGGGGCUAGAACAUGAAAAGAAACAACUAGUCUACAUAGGCCCAACUGGGAAACUUAUAUGUUCAGCAGCAUUCUCUUAAAGAAAGUCAAGCAAUUGAAUCUACCAAAAGUCUUCUUGUAGCCAAGCACAUCAUUACGAAAAAAUUCGGAAACUUUUAACAUGGCUAGUUUUCAAGAUUUUGCGGUAUAUAAUAAGCAUAACCAUGCUGGCCUAAAAACUAAGCAUUAAUUGUGUGCAUGCGUAAGAGAAAGAGGUAUUAUUAUAUGCAUACCAUAACCAUGGUGUAGAGGUUGGUGAGUGAGGUUAGAGAAUGAAGCAACAAUAUGACUAGUCCACCUCCCUCCACUGUCUCUAUCGUUCUUGCUAGUAGAUUUGGAGUCAAGGCCUCAAAAUCCUAAUGCAGGAGAUCAAACUUAGUCAUAAAACUUAAAUCAAUUAUACAAGGGGUCUUGGCCAAACCAGUAAAUUUGUAAGUUUCAAGUUACCUGAAGUAUACACAUUCCAAAGGUAUUACCAAGAACUCUUUCUGAAUCCUUGUACAAGCAAUAAGUCAAUCCCCCACUUUCAACAAAAAGUGAGAAAGGAUCAACCUUCUCGGGAUCAAGCAGCCCCCUCUGCAUCAUCUUUUUUACUUGCUUAGCACGUUUUUUCUUGUGACUGCAUCAUGAAGUAGUCAAACGCAACGAAUCAAUAUAUUUUAAAAACGAAAUUCCGCCUUGCCUUAUAAUAAGGUGAAGAAUGGAAGGUAGAAGAAAUCAACCUGCUGAGCUCGAGCUUGUCCUUGUAGCACCACAACACAGUCGGGCGCGAUUUCUUUACUUCAUUGCUUAGCAUAUAAUGAAGAUUCACAAUCUGAAGACCAUAUAAAACUCCAUAUUAGCCAUUUUCCGUUAGUUUUCGAUAGAUUUUCGAUGAUAUUUCUUACCUUGUUUGAGGUUUUUAGUGUUACUCGGUGAGUAUUGCAGGUGAAAACAAGAAACAGUAAAACUGGUAAAAUUUUCUACCCAAUUCAAUUUAAAUCAUUGUUAUAACUCCUCAAAUUGAAUAGGAAUAGCAAAUAGGGAAUGGGAUAGGAAAGGCAGAAGAAAUUAGGAGUACCUGGUCACGGGAUUUGUCGCCGACGAUGACGAACAUGGAGCGGUGCCGGUUUUUGACGCCAUUGCUUAUUAGGGUUCGGAUUCGUUCGUCCACCUUCUUCCUCAUUCUCUCUCUCUCUUCUCUCUCUGUGCAAUUAGGUUUAGGGUUUAUACCAUAGGGCAGUUGUCGUCGUCGGGCAGGGUUUAAGCCGAACUAGUGAGAGAGAGACUAGACAUCGCGGAGAGAUAUUGAGUUCAUCUCAACCGUUGAUUGGCUAUCUGAUGGCUGUUAUCAAAGCUGACAUAAAAAUGAAAACUCAACACGUGGCCAAGUAUUUUUUUUCUCUCUUUUUUGGCUUAUUUAUUGAUUUGCCCCAGAAAUUAUUUUUUUUGUCUUACUCUAGGUCAUGAAACAGAAUUUAUCUUACUUUAUCUUCUAAAACUACCAAAAUCGAGUCAUUUCACCCAUGUUUUGUCAAUUCUAUCUCAUAAACGUUAAAUAAAAGGGAGUCUAAACAUUUCAUACCAUGCUAGCAAAGAUGAGCCACUGUUGUUGGUGAGGUACGAAAUUUUCAAACUUUCCUAAACCUUUAAAACUUAAAAGGUAUCUUGAAUAUGAACGUAAAUGAGGUAAAGUUGCUCAAUUUUGGCAAUUUAUGAAGGGUAAAAUGAGACAAAUUCAAUUUAAGGCUAAAGUGAGAGUAAAUGGCAGUUUCAUGAGAUAUAUCAAUAAAUAAAUCUUUUCUAGAAUACAACUAAAUUAUGUACUCACGGUAAAAGAUAAAUUAAUAUCGAACUUGUCAUUGACGAUAUCUAAACAUAAAACCUUUCAAGUUUUUACCUAUAAGAAUAAAUUUGGUAUAGUAAUUUCUUUUCUAAUUUAAAGUUUCCCAUAGAGUUAUGACGAAUUUGAUACCAAAUUAGGCUGUCAUUGUGUGGCAUAGCCGAAUUCCUCCUCCCUUACUUUAAAAAUAACGAUGUACUCAAAAAAAGUUUCCCAUAGAGUUAAAAUGAUCUUUAGUUGCUUGCUGAGACAACCCAUAUGUAUAAUAAGACAUUGAAAAAGGUGCCUCUGUCAUUUACACUCACACGAUCGAAUAAGUAGCUCCGACAGUUGCAUCAUAAAAUUAAGGGGUUUUCCGAGAUUGUAGUAAGGUUGACGAUUAAAGUUUGGGAAAUUUUCAGGUUAAGGAAUCAAGGGAUCACAUUUUCAAGUUUCGUAGGCAUUCUCUUUCCUUUGGAAUGGUGUUGGAAUCCGUCCUGAAGUUGCCCAUUCCUUUGCUCUUGAUUUUCAGAGUUGGAUAGCUAUAAACCUUAGGACACAUUGUACCACCAUACAUGGUUUACCUUGGAACCUUAUCUUUAAUUCAACUCUCUGGCAUUGCUGGAAAUGGAGGAAUAACUUUGUCUUCAAUGAUGGCCAACAACCGCUUGACUCACCCCAGAAUUUCAUUUUUCAAUUUGCAAGGGAAUGGUGUGAUGCGAACAAGUGUUCUUCUAGUAAGCCUCCUAGACAAAAUCAUCUCAAUCCAUUGGAUUCGUUUGCCAAUUGGUAUACAAAAUCAAUACAGAUGGGAGUUGUAAAGACCCAUUUAGCCACAUAAGUGCUGGAGGUUUGCUUCGUAAUUCUGAAGGGAAAUGGAUUAAGGGAUUUGCUGCUAAUUUGGGCAGAGGAACCAUCAUGGAAGGUGAGCUUUAAGGGUGGUUUCAUGGGACUUUCUAUAGGUUGGGAUGAGAGUUGCAAGGAAGUGAUUAUUGAAUGUGAUUCUUAUGCUGCUGUUACUUUGAUCCAACAACCUAUUUUAGUUCCCACUCUACAAUCUCAUUAUUGACUGCAAAGAAGCCAUUGAAAGAAAUUGAAGAUGUGAAGUUACUCAUAUCUAUAGAGAAAAUAAUGUCUUAGCUAAUCACACGUCUGACUUAGGUCAUGGGUUAUCACUUGGUCUUCAUGUUUUUGCUUCUCCUUCUACCAUUGCUACUAAUUUUAUAGUUUCUAAUACUAUUGGCAGGGCCCUCCCUAGAGCUGUUUUUUAGUAGCUUUUUUGUUUUGCUUGUUGGGCUUUGCCCUCUUCUGUACCCAAAAAAAAAAAAAAAAAAAAAAAUAUUGGGAAAUUUAUUUGGACCCAACUUUUUUAUCUCUACACCCAAAUAAUAUUUUCUCUUAUCUAAUCUUCCAAAUUUGUCCUUAAAUAACAAACAUUGAAGUUUUCUUUGUAUCUCUACACCCAAACCCCACGAUCCACCACUGUAGGGCGCUCCAUUAUUUCCGACAAACCCAACUCAAACGCCAGCAACACUAAAAUCGACAAAUCAAGACUGGAGAACAAAUGGUGUAGGAGUCCUAAUGUGAAUAUUAAAGCAAACUUAAGUUGCAAAACCCUUUUUUAUUUCAAUCGAUGAAAGGACCUUGGGUUAUGAACAUAAGGAACCUAUUAGGGUUUAGAGGUCCCCUCCACAUCAUAUGCAUAAGCCCUUUUUCUUCAUUCAUUAAUUUACGGAAGGGAAAAUUAAUACUAUUAUUCUCAUAAAAAGUGGGAAUACCAAGGAAAGAGAUCCUCUCCACACCAUAUAUUUUUCUUUUCUGAGUAGUUAUAUCCAAUGGAGAGAGGAAAACAAGAGCACCAAUGGUCGCAGGUUCACCGGAGAAAAUGAAGGUGCAGUGGUGAUGUGAGUUUAGGGUUAUUGGGUGUAAAGAUAACAACUUUAAUAUUUAUUUUCUCAUUUUUAUUUAUUUAAGGGCAAAUUUGAAAGUUUAGUAGAGAAAAUUUGUUAGUUGGGUGUAGAGAUAAAAAGGUUGGGUCCAACAAAAUUUCUCAUAAAGUUUAAUCACGCGAUUAAGUUCUUGUGCAAUGAGUAAAUUGUAGCAAUGACCCAUCAACUAAAAAUCCAUUAUUAUUGAUCCCUCAACUCAUCAAAAUAUGUAGUUAUGGUCAUUUUCGUCAACUUUGUAAGAAUUUUGUCAAAAUAAAUUAUGUUGGAAGGACCAUUGUUACAAUUAAGGUCCUUCAACUCAUCAAAACAUGUAGCUAUGGUCAUUUUCGUCAACUUUGUCAAAAUGAGUUAUGUUGGCAUGACCAUUAUUGCAAUUGGGUUAAAGUUGAGGAAUCAUUGCUCCAAUUGGGUUAAAGUUGAGGGAUCAUUUCUCUAGUUAGAUUAAAGUUGGGGGACCAAUGAUAAUUAAGUUUUAGUUAAGGGAUCAUAGUUGCACGUUUUGAUGAGUUGAGAGAUCAAUGAUAAUGAAUUUUUAGUUAAUGGAUCAUUACUCCAAUUGAGUUAAAAAUAAAGGACCAUUGCUACAAUUUACUCUUGUGCAAUAGAAGAUUAAUUUGGCCGAACAACCUGAUUAAGGUGCCUACUUUCUCUUUAAUUCAUUGGUAUCAUUUAUUUUCCCUUAAGCUGAAUUAUGCUCAAUUUAUGUAUCAAUAUUGUAAAGUUGUCUUUGUUAGAGUAAUUUGGACAAUAUAAAUUGAAAAUUAUUUGUGUAUAUGGAAAAGAUUAACCUCAGGGGUCACUUCGCCGGACUCCGUAGCAAUCUCCACCACUCCAAUCGUAAUGGUGAGUAAAUCACUUGUGUUUGUUUCCAUUUUUUCAAUUGGAAAUUGGGGGUUUUGAAUUCAUAUUUUGUCAAUUGGUUUUGUGAGCACUGAGAAUACACUACGAGCUUGUGUGUGUGUACAAUAUGUUGGAUUUGAUCUUUAUAAAGAAUGCGAGAAAUUGGGGUUAGGAAAGAGAAGAAAAGGAAACAGAACUCGAACUUCGAUCUUCAUUCUUGUUACUAAAGGAGAAAACCGAAUUUGAACCGGUUCAUACGUAAUCGAACCGAAUUUGUAUAGUUCGGUUCACCCCUUAGUACCGAACCGUACCAUACCAAAAAAAAUUUCUUGAGUUUGGUUUUGAUACAUCCCUCAUACUGUACCAUACCAAAUCGUGGCCAGACCUACUGAAUACAAAACUUAUAUCUGGGUCGUAAGUCGUAAGGCCUCCAAAAAAAAAGUUCAUAUUAUUCAUACCAAUCGGACAAAUCCCGCACCCAAAAACAAUGGCUAGAUAGAAAGUUCAAUUAUAGAUUAGGUAAUCUAUCCUUUUCAACUUAAAUGCACAUUCAUGAUGGUUAUGCAAAUCAUAUUAUGUUAACAAAUGCAACAAUUAAUUAUAUUUAUCCAUUUGGAAUGAUAUAUAUUUUCAAAGAUGGAAUUACAGACCCCGUUGACGUUGAGGCCAUUGCAUGAGAGAAUUUUAGAUGAUUUUCAAUUAAUUUAUAUUAUUGUUGUGAUAACCAUAAUAAUUAUUUUCUAAAUGUAAAACUAUAUUAAUGAAAUUUUCUUUGUCGGUCAAAAGAAGAUGAAAAGAUAUCUUUAUCUUCUAUCACAACAAAAAAAUUAAGGAUAUUAAUGUAAUAGGCUAAUAGCGAUGGGGUGAAGAAAUGGAACUAUCCUAAAUAGGCAGUUGCUGGUUAUAUUGGAUCAGGUGGUCUGAAUGAUUGGAUAAUUAGCAAAUAAAAAGGUUCCAUUUUUCAUGGACCCUCAAGUGGAAAUAUGGGAUAAAAGAUGGCAUAUACCAUUUUAUCCAUUUGUGAUUGUACAUUUUGAUGGUUGUGAUUUCACCCGAUGGCGCGGCAAGUGUGGAUUGGGAUAAGGAUGGUUUUGGUCUAUCAUCAAAGAUGGUUUGAUGUUCACGACUGGAUUUUACAACGCAUCCAAGUGCAUGGGUUCUAUAAAUACAGAGUUGCGCACAAUAAAAAAGUACAAAGGACCUUCAAACCUUUCACACACUCUGAGAAACUCCUGAUUCUCCCAACUUCGUCAACACAUCUUCAAUUUGGAUUAACAUCACUGUUUGUCAGUGAGGAGUCCUUAGUCUUCUCGUCUCAUUAGCCCUCUAGGUGAAGUGAGGUGUUACUGAAUUACUUGAGUAUUCAGCACAUUGAAAGUCGAACCUUAUUUGAACUUCACAGUAGUUAGCAAUCUUAUCUUCAGGUUUUAGAACCCAAUGCCAAGACAUAUUCCUUCCUCGACAGUGAUGGUUUGUACACAAAAGUUGGUUUGUACACAUAAGUCAGUAUUGUGUUUGACACACCAUCCCAUUCAUUCUACUAGCCCACAAACGCGUGGACUCGUCCAAAAUUACCCCACUCUCGGCCCGUUCACUUGCCCACUCGUCCCACGCGGCCCGUGAGUCUUCAGUGCCUGAUAGGGGGGCCUACUGUUAGGGCCGUUGUUGGCCACAACCCAGAGCCCAACGAUUUUUUUUUGCAUCCCACGACUGGCAUUUUUGGACCGUUGGUUGAUCCAACGGUCCAGAUUCAAAUUUUGUUUUUUUAAAUGUUAUUUUAAAAUACAUUGAAUCCAACGGCUGAGAUCGAAUAUAAUCAAAUCUAACGGUAAAAUAAAAAAAGAUAAAAAAAGAUAUAACAGUCCAAAUUUAAAUCCAACAGCUAAAAUAAUUUUAAAAAAAAUUAUUUAACUCAAAAUUCACCCAAAAACUCUAUAAAUACCUUUGUAUUUGUUCAAACAUCCACACAAAACUCAAUUUUCUCCCACAAUUCUUCCAUUUUUUCUUUCUACCAUUUCUUUCCAUUUCCAAAUUGUUCAACACGAUCCUUGAAUUGGCCAUCCCAAGCAGUAAGACAAUUCUUCCACUCCCAAAGCAUACAAUCGAGACUUCCUAUCAUGUCAGGAAAGCCUAUUUUGUCUGCUUUGAGUAGAAUGUGACGACAUGUCCCGAAUUAUUAUAUAUUUUUCUCCCUAAGUGUGUAAAGUGACGGUAAUGCCCUCGUGAUUUAGUGACGUGGAUGUACAUAUGUAGUUUUAAAUUAUUAUUUCUAUUGUCGUAGUUAAAUUGUACUCGACGCCAUGAGUGUGUUGAUGUGACCUAGGGCUAAAACAAAUUCGUAACGAAGAAGUUACGAACAGACGAGUGUGUAAAUGCGUAGAAAUAUAUUUUUAUGGGUUGGCUAUACCUUACCCACCAAUCACCUUAAUUCCUGAUUUCUUUGGCCUAAUUGAAUUAAAAAUAUCUCUCAUUUUUCCUUCUGCCCAAUCACGCACAUACACACCAUCACUCUCUCUCUUCUCUCGGACCUUCUUCUUCUUUCUUCUCAUUCCGUACACCCGAGCCACCCUUACCUCACAAUCAUCAUCAAAACAUUAUGGAUCGAAUUGGAAAUCACUACCAUCGCAGUCACCUCGAUCCCACGAACUCAUUGAUACCCUUAGGUCGAGGAAUAGACGUCGGGAAUUCGAGAACUCGGGAGCUCUGGCGAGGUGUAUUUUUCUACUUUGUGAUCGUGGUCUUUUUCUAUGGUUUAAAGGCUUGAGGUGGGUCCUAAUCAACUUUAUAGGGACCCUAGAUUAGUUUUGGAGCAGUUUGAACGUUGGAAUAGGUGAGAACAUGGAGUUGCAGGUUGGCCGGUUGAUCCAAGCCUUACUCCGACCACUUUCUGUCGGUUUUAGAACCUCAAGUAGGUAAGAUUGUAUUCUUCUAGUUGAGAGUUUCAAAUCCAUAUAAAAUUCAUGGAAUUUGGUUGAAAAAUGAUGAAGAUAUUAAAGUUUUAAGAUUUUUCCAAAAAUCAGCGACACAAACGGCGCCCGACGGCCAGCGAUGGAUUCCGACAAAGCCAUCGGAGAAGGAGGAGAAUAUUAUGUCUAACUUUGACAGAAUAUACUAACAGCGUCAGGUAACUCUAUUAGUUUUUAAACAAAAUAUUCUACUAUUUAAUGAAAUAUUCCCUAACGCCGUUAGGGAUUCCGUGCCUGCACGUGCCGGCUUAUGAGGGCGCGUGAGACGUCAGGAAAUUAAUCUAAAAAUAUUGGGGUGUUCGAGUUGUUGAGUAGGUCAUGUUGGUAUAUUCAAACACCCUAUUUGAGCAACGUAUGAGAAGUUAUUCCUAGGGUUUGUGUAUGUGCCUUAAAAUUAAUGUAAAAUUAGUUAUUUCGCAUAUAGGUGAGACUUACCCGGAGGACAAACGUGGUCAAACGAGACUUGGGGGCUACGAUCCUACUACUUACCAGUGAGCGGGCUUUUUUUUUCUAUAUAUAUGUAAAUAUGCUUAUGAAUCCCAUAAACUACUUUAAAUGAACGUAUGUUUUAAAUGCCAUGUCGUGUGCAUUAUGUGUUAGUAUUGCAUUAGUAUAGCUAUGCAUAGUAUUGGAUGAGACUGCGCAGACUCAGGUAAGUUUCAGGUGAGUACAUCAUGAUGGUAUUGGGUGCGUGUGUGUGGUUAUACGUUGAUGCAUUUUGAGCUUAUUAUCCUGCACAUUGGUGUUAGUGUUCUCGCCCAUGGCCAGGGCAUAGUUUUUCACAUGAUGUUCACCUCCUGGGCCGCACGCUCACUUUGGAUCCAAGUUUGGUGCACAGCCAUAUUGCACAGACCACAAUAGGUGGUUCCGACUCGUAGGUGACCUGCAAUUAUUUGCACAGCCUUCACGUGAUCGUAGCACUUAAGCGUACUUAUCUACACCCAGCCCUGUUGUACAGACCACAAUAGGUGGUUCCGACUUAUGUGCAUGCAUACUUGAUGAGCUAUAGAUUCAAUUGUACAGGUUACAUUAGGUGACUCCGGUUGGCAUACUAUUUUAGGUUGAUUCGUAUCACCUGGCUUACACAUUUUAUGGUUGAACAUCUUGACAUGGCAUACCUCUGUUUUCACUGCUCUAAGCAUUAUCCUUAUGUACCUAGUUGUUAUUAUUUUCUGGAAAAUUAUAUGGGUUUACAGUGAGGGGUUAGUAUGUUCAUAAAGACAACUGUGUUUUCAAAAACUUUGUUUUUGCCUACUCACAUUUUUUGUUUUGCACCCUUUCAGGUUCUAGGUAGUUGGUCAUCCUUGGUGGCUCACGAGGACUUUCACGGCGGUUCUGACAUCUCUGUAAAUAAGUAGGGAUUUUUUUCCCUGUUUGUAUAAUUAGUACUUAGUUGGUUCGAUUGCACUUUCGUUUACCCAUGCUCUGAUAUUUGUAUAACUUGCUUGGUCAUCUUUACUCACUUAUAUUAUCUUAGUUUAGAUAAGUUUGGUUUUAGGUUUUUAUUUAUUCGCAUUUCUUUUAUUAUUACUUCUGUUGCGCAUUUUGGCUACGUUACUCUUACGUGACGGGCAUCAUGUUUCGACUUCGGUUGGGGUGUGUCAUAAAAGCCUCUUCAAGUCUUCAUGAUUUGGCUUGCAGAGAUAUGUGGCUCCAUAUGUGGCCUGAAUUGCCCCACAGAAGCGCUCCAGGUUUUUAAUAGCAGUAGUCUCCGCAAGUCGGCAAUACUCAUCAGUUGAGUUUGCAGAGCACUCAUUAGCUAGCAUCCGAAAUGCAGAUGUGAGCUUCUGAUGAGGUGAUAGACUUUGUCGGCCUACGACAUUUAUCUUCCUUGCAAAGUAGUGGUCAUGAUUGACAACUGUGUUCAAGAUGCUUUCAAAAAUCUCUCUCCUCAUUCGAAACCGUCUCCGAAAAUCAUGAGCAGGAAAUCUCGGACGCUCAAUAAAAUAAUAUUUCAUCAUUCGGUCAUGACACUCUUCUCUAUCACGUUGCACAAAUGAACGCUUCGUGACAUAACCACAAUAGCUAGAUUCGACAUGGUGCUCAUAUUGCAUAAGCGAGUUUGGAAGUUUAGCUUAUGCGUUGAUCAUUUUUGAAUCCUCAAUGUCAAGGCUUGCUUGGUAUUAUGUCAUUUGCAUUGCCCUGCUACACCUUCUUCUAUCAUCCAUUGUUGAUAUAUUGAGGAUUUUUAUGAAACAAAAACACUUUGAAAGUUGAAAGAUUAGUGAAUAUAGGGAAUGAUUGAAGGUUGAAAGAUUGUGUGACCAACUGAUAUUGAACAUGUGUUUAUAUAGAGGAUGAUUGAUGAAAGUUGAAAGUUUGGUGAAAGUUGAACGGUUGGUGAAAGUUGAAGAUUUGUGAAAGUUAAAGACUUGCUUUGUGGAAAGAUUUAGUGAUUUUUUCAAUAUUUAUUGGAAUUUAAAUAUUUUUAUAUUAAAAUGUUCAUAAAAUUAAUUUACCAUAGGCUACAUAAUUUUUUUUAAAAGUUAAUUUAAGAAAAAAAAUUAGCCUAAGUUCAUUCUUUAAUAAUCCCGAACUAAAAUUUUAGGCUAGGGUUGGAGCAGAAAAACUGUUUCUGUGUUAAAAGCUAAAUUUUUUAGAUUAAAAAUUUUAAAUUUUAACCCAAAGGUUGGAGAUGAUUUAAGAAUGGAUAAACUUAACCAAGAAAAGAAGAAAAAAGAUGAAGGGCAAAUAAGUGAGAAGCAACAUGACACGACACACGGACGACCAUAGCAAUAAAGCGUGCGUCCUCACGUCCAUUGAAUAUAUAGAUGGGAGCUACAACAUCGUGUUUCACGUGCAUGUGUAUUAUACAUAAAGGCAUAUACAGUGUUAGCUUAUAUAUUAUAAAGUUUGUAGGCCACUUACCCAAUUUGGCAUAUGUUUUAUCUUUUUACGUGAAUAACCAAUGUGUUAUGAUGAUACAAGUCUCUUAACAUAUCCGGAGUUAGAAAUAUCAUAAGACAGUGUUGCGAUCAUAUUGAAAUUAAUUGACAGUUUGUAUUAUAUAUUUGAUUAUUCUUUAUUAACUUAAGGAGACAGCAUACUUAGACCUAAUUUAGUCACAUUCUCCAACCGAAAAUAAAGCGGUGUAGUAUUCAUACACUUUUUUUUAUUUCUUACACAGUCUUAAUUAAUUUCUAUUGUUUGAUCUUCUUCAAUUCAUUCGAUCUGACGACCGAAAAUUAAGAUGGUGUGUGGACGAGUAAAUUAUAACAAUGGUCCCUCAACUUUAAUCAAAUUGGAGCAAGGGUGCUCAACUAAAAAUCCAUUACCAUUGGUUCCUCAACUCAUCAAAAUGUGUAGCUAUGGUCAUUUUCGUCAACUUCGUUACAAUUUUGUCAAAAUAAGUUAUAUUGGAAUGACUAUUGCUACAAUUGGGGUCCCUCAACUCAUCAAAACGUGUAGCUAUGGUCAUUUUCAUCAAUUUCGUUAGAAUUUUAUCAAAAUGAGUUUUGUUGGAAUGACCAUUGCUACAAUUGAAUUAAAGUUGAGGGACUAUUAUUUCAAUUGAGUUAAAGUUGAAAGAUCAUUUCUUCAGUUGUAUUAAAGUUGAAGGAUCAAUGGUAAUGAAUUUUUAGUUGAGGGGACUAUAGCUGCACGUUUUAAUGAGUUGAGAGAACAAUAAUAAUGAAUUUUUAGUUGAAAAACUAUUACUUCAAUUGAGUUAAAAUUAAGAAACAAUUGCUACAAUUUUUUUAUAUGGAAAGUGGAUGAUGUGAAUAGCACAUCCAAAAAUAAAAGGGAACUUUAACGAAAAGCACCCGGUACUGUUCACUUUAACGAAAAACCACAUUUUUACACUAAAAAGUCAAUCCUGGUACUAUUCACUUUACCCUUUAUUUUGUCCUUAUCAUUAAAACUCAAAGUUUUCAAGCCCUUUUCAUUAGUUUUCCUAAAAUAAAAUGCACCACAAUUUGGUAGGAUCUUCCUGUUGAGAGUAAUAAAUUAAUAAUUGCCGAAAUAUUGGAUAAUUUGUCGGCCACAACGCUAUGAGGGAGUAUCUGGGGAUGAAUAUACUCUUGCCGACAGAUGCCCAAAUUCCAACUGCCAUUCAAAUGAGCCCUCCACCACCACCGGCCAUAAUAAAUUCUCUUUCUUUAGUGAAGAAGAAAAAGAGGUACUUGGCCCUCACCUCAACUUUUUGAGAAAGAACAAGUUUAUCGCUAUCAGAAUGUUUCGGUCAAUUAUAUAAGUUAUGUGUAAAUUUUUCUUUAGAUAACAUUACAUUAUUAUAUUUAAAAUGUUCCGUAACGAUAAAUUUGUUUCAUACAAAUUAUUCUCCAACUUCUUGGAUUUUUCUCCUUUUUCCCGAAAACCAGCUUAUAUUAGUGUUCAUCCUCUGUCAAUAUCACUCGCCCACAACUAUUCAACUAACUUUUAAUAAUUUGACAACGUGUCAUAUUUUUGUGCAAAGCGGGCCCAUUUUUGUGGGUGAUAUAAUAAUGGCGUAUGUGGUUUGUCAAGACAUAUACUCAUUUAUCCAUUAGCAGUUAGGUAAGUCACCUCACUCACCCACAGCCUAACACAUCAACAAAUAUUGCUUACAAAUUCUAGAAAAUUCGACCAAGAAAAAAAACCAAAUGCUCGCAAAUUAAAAUUGUGUAACAUGAUUAGUUUUUUAUCCAUUAGUAUUAAUUUUACGUUGGAAGAAAUUCCAAAUUUAUUCUUGUAAAGAGGGAUAUGAAAAUACUUUGUAUGUCUAUCACCAAAAUCUUCGAAUGUUUGAAUGGUUGAUUUUCAAGUCUCACACAAUUGGAUUUAGUUCAAGUGAGAAAGAAAUACACUCAAACUAUUAGAUAUGAGGAAUGAAAAUACACUACAAAAUCUUGUGAACAUUUCUAAUAUUCUCUUCUAUCUACUUUUUGUGAACCAAGUUUUUAUUUGUUUUUUUUUUUAACAAAAGAUAUUUUUUAUACUAGGGAAAUAAGGUGGGUUUAGCCUCAUAAUGGGCUAACAUAAUCUAGUUCAAACUUGCAUUUGGUGAGAAUCGAACCUAAAAUCUCUCACUUACAAGUGAAGAGGAAUACCAUUAGAAGUGUCAUGAAAUUAGCAGUCUUAUAUGUAAAAAAUUGAUUGACUAAAUGCUGUGUUAAAAAACAAGAUUAAUACUUGCAUCUCCCCACUUGGAAAAUGCAAAUAUUUCAUUUCUUGCAAAUAACGUAUAUCAUGCGUUCUGUUCAAUCGCAUAUUCAAAAAUGUUAAAAACAAGAUUAAUAUUUCUAUCUCCCCACUUGGAAAAUGCAGUAUUUCAUUUUUUACGAAUAACGUAUAUCCUGUGUUCCGUCCAAUCGCGUAUUAAAAAAAUGUGUGAAGUUUGGAUUAACUACACUCUUUGAGAAUUUCCUUAAAUAACCACUUUUUGAAAAUUUCUUAUAGGACUAAGUGAGUCUCCGCUGAGAAUUUCCUUAACUAACACAACACUACUUGAGUGAUAAUUUGUUAUAUCUUGAAUAGAGAAUAAAUCAGUUCCCUACUUUUGAAGGUACUAUUAACUUACACUAUAUUUGAAUGAGAACAAUAAACUUAGAAUUUAGAUGAAGGAAAUAAAACAGUUUCCUACUUUUGAAGGUACUACUCGAGUGAUAAUUUGUUAUAUCUUGAUAACGUGUCAUAUUUUUUUGCUAAGCGGACCCAUUUUUGUGGGGUGGUAUAAUAAUGGCGUUUGUUGUUUGUCAAGGGCAUAUACCCAUUUAUCCAUUAGCAGUUAGGUCACCUCACUCACCCACAACCUAGUACAUCAACAAAUAUUGCUUACAAAUUCUAGAAAAUUCAACCAAGAGAAAGAAAACCAAAUGCUCGCAAAUUAAUCUGUGUAACAUUAGUUUUUAUCCAUUAGUAUUUAUUUUACAUUGGAAGAAAUUCCAAAUUUAAUCUCGUAAAGAGGGAUAUGAAAAUACUUUGUAUAUCUAUUAUCAAAAUCUUUGAAUGUUUGAAUGAUUGAUCAUCAAGUCUCACACGAUUGAAUUUAGUUCAAGUGAGGAAGAAAUACACACAAACUAUUAUAUAUGAGGAUUGAAAAAUACACUACAAAAUCUUGUGAUAACAUUUCUAAUAUUCCUUUCUAUCUACAUUUUGUGAUAAGUUUUUUUUUUCCUUUUUUGAACAAACUAUAUUUAUCUACAUUAAGGGAGAGGAGGUGAUCUUAGCCUCACAAUGGGCUAGCAUAAUGUGGUUCAAAUUCGCCUUUGGCGAUAAUCGAACCUAAAACUUAUCAUUUACAAGUAAAUAGGAAUACCACUAGAUGGAUCAUGAAAUUAGCAGUCUUAUAGGUAAAAAAAAAUUGAUCGACUAAAUGAUGUGUUAAAAAACAAGAUUAAUACUUGCAUCUCUCCACUUGAAAAAUGUAGAUAUUUCUGUGAACACGGAAAAUUCCUGAAACGAAAGAGACAAGAACAACGUGCACAAAAUAAUAUUUUGGUGUUAAUGGAUUUGUUGGGUUACGAUCUCUUUUAACUUGAUCCUCUGAUUCGAUCUCCGUAAGGUGUUGAUUUAUGGAUGUUUCGUUGAUCCAAGGGCUGUUGAGGCUUGAUCUUAGAUGAACUGUUGGAAGUUUCUUCAAGGGGCCGUGGGCUUGAUCUUUGAAGGUGGAUUUGAGCGGAUCUUCAAGGAGCCGUUGGGGCUUGAUCUUGAGGAUGAGUGUUUCUUCAAGGGCCGUUAAGGCUUGAUCUUGAAUAACGGUGAUGAACGGAUCUUCAAGGGCUUUUGGGCUUGAUCUUGAAGAACGGUUGGAUGUGUGGAUUUGUUGAUGUUGUUGAUCCAAGGGCCGUCGGAGCUUGAUCUUGGAAGAACGAUGAACGAAGAACGAAGAACACUUUCUUCAAAGGCCGUCGGGGCUUGAUCUUGAAUUGGUGAUUGUUGAUCCAAGGGCCGUCGGGGCUUGAUCUUGGAAGAACGAUGAACGAAGAACGAAGAACACUUUCUUCAAGGGCUGUCGGGGCUUGAUCUUGAAUUGGUGAUUGUUAAUCCAAGGGCCGUCGGGGCUUGAUCUUGAUUCUUCGGGAUGAACGGAUGAUGAACAAUGAACACUUUCUUCAAGGGCCGUCGGGGCUUGAUCUUGAAUUGGUGGAAGUUCUUCAAGGGCCUUUGGGGCUUGAUCUUGAAGGUGGAUGAUUGUUGAUCCAAGGGCCGUCGGGGCUUGAUCUUGGGAUGAACAGUUGUGUGGAUUUGUUGAACACUUUCUUCAAGGGCCGUCGAUGCUUGAUCUUGAAUUGGUGGAAGUUCUUCAAGGGCCGUUGGGGCUUGAUCUUGAAGGAGGAUUUGACGAAGAACGAAGAGGGCUUUCUUGAUCCUUCGGGAUUUGCUUGAAUUUGGGAGGUUGGAUGCUUGAAAGCUUUAGAGUUUCAAAGCUUCAAGGAUUUUGGAUGUGUGGGGAGUAUUCUCUUCCAUUUUGGGAGUAGAGAAAUGUAUUUGUGAAUUGGUUUUUGAUACCUUGAUGUAGAAGCCUAUUUAUAGGCUUUGAGAAUGAAUCACCACCACAAAAUAUUUUUUUUCUUUUCCAAGCACCAUUGCCUAAUUUCCCACUUAAUACAAUUUUAAACUUGAAGUGGUAAUUUUAUGGCCUAAUUUUCCACUUAAUAUCAUUUUAAACUUGAUAUGUGCAUGCUUUGUCAUUGCCCAAAAUGAGAAGAAAACCUUGUUUUGAUCUUCAAUGAAUUGAAAUGUGCUUGCCUUGUCAUUGCCCAAAAUGAGAAGAAAAACUUGUGUAAUCCUUCAAGGGUAUUUCUUUUUAUUUUGUUGAGUCGCACACCAUGUGUACAAUUUGUAUGACACGUGGCAUAUGCCAUGUACGCCUUGACACGUCAAAAUUUUAAUGCGUUGGUGAACAUUUAUUUCACCGCAAUUUCGGUGUCUACAAAUGCCCCCACUUCAAGGUGCGUCGUAUACAUGUGCUUGUCACGUGUAGGAGAUGCGUUUUGAAGUCCCUUACUGUAGAUGUCAAUCCAAUGGCCAUCGAGGCUUGAUCUUGAAUUGGGCUGGAGAUUUCUUCAAGGGCCGUUGAGGCUUGUUCUUGGACUUUGUUUGAAAUUUCUUCAAGGGCCAUCGAGGCUUGAUCUUGAAGGUUGAAAUUGGACCACAAGGAGCUUCAUGUGGUAGAUGAUCUUUGGCUUUGGUAGUGGAUGAAUCGGCACGUAUUUGUUUUUGCGCUUUGUUGACUUUCCACAGCUUUGAUCUUGAACUGGGUUGGAGGAUUUUUUGGAUUCCUCCAAUUGUUGAUUUUCCACAGUUUAUUCUUGAACUGGAUUUGAUUCAAAUAUGGUGGACGCUUGAUCUUGAAUCGGACUUGUGAUUUCCUCAAGGGCCGUCGAGGCUUGAUCUUGAAUUUGGCCGGAAACUUCUUCAAGGGCCGUUGAGGCUUGAUUCUUGAAGGUUGACUCGAACACAUGGCAAGCAGGCACGAGGUGAAGGUGACGACUUGUUGCUUUGUUCAAUCUUUCUAAUUCACACCUGAGCAGUUUGGUCAACGGUAUGAUCUUCAAGAUUGAUGGGCUCUUCUUCCAGUUGGUGAUUUGAUCUUUAAGGAUUUGAUUCAAGGGUGGUGAAACGGCACAUGCAGCCCACAACGCCUAGCAAGUCGACCCAAGAAUUUGAGGGUUAAAACGAGUCCUCCACCCAGAGUGAUUGCAAACCUGAUGAUAUGAGAUACUUUUGAUUUUGAAGAAGUAGCGGAUGAAUCGGCACGUGCUUUGUUGUGCUUGUCUCCACAUGCUUCAAUGUAUCAUUUUCCCUUGUCUUAUCUAUUCUUCUAGCAGAAUGUAGCAUCUUCUUAAGUUCUUCAACUCAGACUCCUUCUGCUGAGCUGACUGUGCAGGCUGCAUUAUUCUCUGCUUGUUUCUUUAGGCAGAUGUGGCAGCUUCUUGAGUUCCUCAGCUCGGACUCCUUCUGCUGAGCUGAUUGUGAAGACUGCAUUCUUAUCUGCUUGUUUCUUCUGUACGUUGUCUCCACAUGCUGCAAGGUAUCAUUUUCAAUUGCCUUAUUUGUUUUCCAGGCAAAUGUGGCAUCCGAGUUUGAGUGGAGGUUCUGGCAUAUUGUUUUCUUUAUCCUUGUCUUUGUAGGUAAGAACAAGGACAAAGGAAAGGACAGGGAGAACGCAUGAUAUGAUAUACUCUUGCUUUCUACCCUGGUGAUAUGAGAUACUUUUGCUUUGGUGUCAUUUGUUUGCAGAGGUACCCCAAGGAAUAAGAAACACUGAGUGACUCGAGAGGCUUUGUUGGGAAGGCAUUCUAGGAGAUGAAGAAAGGUUCUUGGAGAUGAAGAAAGGUUCUCGGAGAUGAAGAAAGGUUAUGUAUGUCUGCCUUGCUAUGGAGGGUAAAGGUGGACAGUUAUAGGAAAUUCUUUAGUACCUGUAGAGGUACUAUUCUUUUACUCGUGUCGGCAACCAAUGUGUGAUUGAUCAGUAUGGCUUCACGUGUUUUCUUCUUUAUCAGAAAUCUUCGACAAAUUGUCCGUAAUUUUCGUCAAGCUGAGUGUGCAUGUGACAGGUGUUGACGAGGCUGAAAAAGACUGGUGCCUCUUCGAUAUCUGGGAUCGGCGCUUCGACAAAUUGCCCGUGAUUUCCGCAAAGCUGAGUUUGCGCGUGACGGGUGCUGACGAGGCUGAAAAAGACUGGCGCCUCUUCGAUAUCUGGGAUUGGCGCUUUAACAAAUUGCCCAUGAUUUCUGCAAAGCUGAGUUUGCACGUGACGGGUGCUAACGCGUCUGGAAAAGCAAGAUGCUUCUCCGAUUUCUGAGCUUGCCUCUUUGAUUUUUGAAUUGGCCUCUUCGAAUUCUGAGCUCGCCUCUUCGAUCUUUGAAAUCCCAUCGAGUGUUGAUCUUUAUAGAGGCACGCAGUUCGUUUCAAAGCACACUUGAAUUUUCGCUUGUAGAAACUCCCUUCUUGCACUUCUAAGAUCUUGAUUUGUCCGACCUCUUCUUUCUUCAACACCUUUGAAAAUGUCUGGACCCUCCGACCGUCAUUUUGAUUUGAACCUUGGUGAAGAGGUAGUCCCGUCUUCUCCAGAUAACAUAUGACGCCCAUCUUUCAUAUCCCCUACUGGUCCUCUUACCGUUGGGGAUUCGGUGGUGAAGAAUGAUAUGACCGCUGCGGUGGUGGCCCGAAACCUUGUCACUCCCAGAGAUAACAGACUACUUUCCAAACGGUCUGAUGAGUUGGCUGUUAAGGAUUCUCUGGCUCUCAGUGUGCAGUGUGCAGGUUCUGUGUCUAAUAUGGCCCAACGCCUAUUUGCUCGAACCCGUCAAGUUGAAUCAUUGGCGGCUGAAGUGAUGAGUCUCAAACAGGAGAUAUUAGAGGGCUCAAGCAGAGAGAUAAACAGUUGCAUAAGCUCGCACAUAGCUAUGCGACAAACAUGAAGAGGAAGAUUAACCAGAUGCAGGAAUCUGAUGGUCAGAUUUUACUUGAUCAUCAGAGGUUUGUGGGUUUGUUCCAGCAGCAUUUGCCUUCGUCUUCUGGGGCUGUACCGCGUAAUGAAGCUCCAAAUGAUCAACCCUUGGCUCCUCUUCUUCCUGGAGUUCCGCCGAGUGGUGUGGCUUCAAACAGUCAACCUCCGACGCCUCUCAUUUCUGGAGCUCUGCUGAGUGGUGAGGUGGCACCUAAUCGUCCUUGAAGAUCCCCUCUUGUAAAUUUGAUUUGAUUUUUUUUUAAGUAUGUAUAAUGCAAAUUUAUGUAAAAUUUCCAGAAAAAAUAAAUAAAAACGGACUUUAUUUCUCUCAAUGCAUUUGUUUUGUUUUGUUUUUGUUUUUUUUGUUUUUUUGUUUUUGUUUUUUUUGUAAAUACAUAAUAACAUAUGUAUUUAUUUAUUUAUUCUUUUGUAAUAAAAUUGACUUUCUUUAAUAAAACUUUUAUAUUUUUCUUAUUUAUUUUGAUAUGACUGAACUCGAAAUUGAAUGUUCGAGCCGCCUACGUACCCUUCCAAAGAAGAGAUCAAGCCAUAACGUAGUUCAAAUGAGUGAUGAAUUUAAUAGUGAUUUUGAUGAUGAUUUUGCCGUACACAGUUUAUGCUCUUGUGGGCCAGGAGCUUUGGUGUUGCCUUUUAUGCUCGUGCAGACCAGGAGCGUUGAUGUCGCCUUUUAUGCUCGUGUGGGUCAGGAGCGUUGAUGUUGCCUUUUAUGCUCGUGCAGACCAGGAGCUUUGUGCCAUGCAGUUUAGACUCGUGCGGGCAAGGAGCUUUGGUUCGUGCAGUUUAGGCUCAUGCGAACAAGGAGCAUUGGUUCGUGCAGUUUAGGCUCGUGCGAACAAGGAGCAUUGGUGUUGCCUUUUAUGCUCGUGCAGACCAGGAGCUUUGUGCUAUGCAGUUUAGACUCGUGCGGGUGAGGAGAAUUUGUGAAUUUUGUCAAGCACUUUUGGAGAGGCGUUCCUUACAAUCUUCAUAGCAAGGAGCCUUGACCGAGUGAUUGAAGAAGUCUUCGGGAAAGAAGUCGCACAUCGUGAUGGCAACAGACGAUCUUUGUGUCGUAAUUUCAUCAUCUUCAACACGUUCACGUUGCUUUGAAGGUUGACAAGAGCUGCUUUGCCCCCUUUCCGAUUGGCGGACUUGUGGAGGAGACGUAUGCUUCUUGUGCCAUUUCUUAGGAGUGACUUGAGUCCAUCCUUCAAGUUUGCUUGUUUUGGAGGAUGCCCCCGGCGGUUGAGGUGAAAAUUUUGUGUUGAAAGAGCCAGAAGUGAUGGUGGUAUAGUUUGACUUCACCACAUCGUCAAGAUCUAGCUCGAUGAUUCCUUUCUGAGCCCACUUUAUGAUGAGAUCUUUCAGCACAAAGCACUUUUCUGUCGGAUGACUGAUGAAGCGGUGGAAUUUACAGUAUCUUGGACUGUUGGUACGAUUCAUCUCUUCCGGCCAUCUGCACUCAGGCAAACUGAUCACCUUCUUGUCCAACAGGUCAUCCAACAUGGCAACCACAUCAGAGUCAGGGAAUGGAUAAGUCUUCUCUUUAAGCUCCUUCAAAGUGCGUCUACGCAUCUCUUGAUCACGAAAAGCUUCGGUUUGAAUCGUUUUGCCUCGUGUGGAGAUUUUGACGGGAGAUGUGUUGACUGUCAUUGCUUCCUUGGUGGAUUUCCACGUAGCCUUCUCCACCUUUGUCUCAAGAAUUUUGUCGUUCUUGUAGUCGGCGAUCGGUUCCUUCUUCCCAUGAUGGGUGAUGCUCAACUCCAUGUCAUGGGCGUGGGUGGCCAAUUCCUCGAAGGUCCGUGGUUUAAUGCCUUGAAGGAUGUAUUGCAAACCUCAUUGCAUGCCUUGGAUGCACAUCUCGAUUGAAGAGGUCUCCGAGAGCCUAUCUUUGCAGUCGAGGCUUAGAGUGCGCCAUCUGUUGAUGUAGUCAAUGACCGGCUCAUCUUUCCAUUGCUUCAUACUUGUGAGCUCCAACAUGCUUACAGUGCGGCGGGUGUUGUAGAAGCGGUUGAGGAAUUCCCGCUCCAAUUGCUCCCAGCUGUUGAUGGACUCAGGCUCUAGGUCCGUGUACCACUCAAAUGCGUUUCUUUUCAGCGAGCGCAUAAACUGCUUGGCGAAGUAGUCCCCCUCCGUCCCCGCGUUGUUGCAAGUUUUGACGAAAUGUGCAACGUGCUGCUUUGGGUUUCCUUUUCCAUCAAACUGCAUGAACUUUGGUGGUUGAUAUCCCAUCGGCAUCUUUAGGGCAUCAAUCUUCUUUGAAUAAGGCUUUGAGUACAACCCGGAGGUAUUUGAGCUCCCUUCGUACUAUGCCUUGACGGUGCUGGCAAUCAUCUCUUGCAACUGUUGGAUAGAAAGAGAUCCCAUGAGUGCCGCUUCUUGGUCUGGCUCCGGCUUCACAUCGAUUUUCUCCACCGUAGGCUCAUCUUCUGGGUUAGGGUUCUCGCUGUCCUGUGGCUCCAGUUGACUGAUGAGUGCAGCGAUUUGCAAGUCUUUUUCUUCCACAGUUCGGGUUAGCCUUGCGAUUGCUUCAUUCAUUUGAGCCAGUUGUUCUUCGAUGGAGGUAACGCCGAUGGUCAUGACUUGUGCAACCAAUAGACGUGACUUUCCUUUAGACAUCCAAGAUGCUGAAGAAGAACGUCAUUGGUUGUUUUGGGAUGUCAUCUUGUGUGCCUCAGCAACAUGCUUUGGUGCCCCCAGCGAGGUCAGGUUGAUGACAGACUCACACCUUUGAUGCUCCCUUUGCUCUUUUAGCGGCACCAACUUUGAAGUGGCAUGUUAAGGAGCGGUUGUGGUGCUAAUGGAUUGUCCAUUUGCGGCAGAAGUGCUUAGGAUCCUUCCCUCAGUGAUUGCGAGAACGGCUUGUCCCUUGCUUGAUGCCAUUGAUUUUGAGGUGUGUUUGGAUUCCUUAAACGGAGAAAGAUAUGAGAGGUAGAGAUUGUCCCACCGGGCGUGCCAAUUUGUGAACACGAAAAUUUCCUGAAACGAAAGAGACAAGAACAACGUGCACAAAAUAAUAUUUUGGUGUUAAUGGAUUUGUUGGGUUACGAUCUCUUUUAACUUGAUCCUCUGAUUCGAUCUCCGUAAGGUGUUGAUUUAUGGAUGUUUCGUUGAUCUAAGGGCCGUCGAGGCUUGAUCUUGGAUGAACUGUUGGAAGUUUCUUCAAGGGGCCGUGGGCUUGAUCUUUGAAGGUGGAUUUGAGCGGAUCUUCAAGGAGCCGUUGGGGCUUGAUCUUGAGGAUGAGUGUUUCUUCAAGGGCCGUUAAGGCUUGAUCUUGAAUAACGGUGAUGAACGGAUCUUCAAGGGCUUUUGGGCUUGAUCUUGAAGAACGGUUGGAUGUGUGGAUUUGUUGAUGUUGUUGAUCCAAGGGCCGUCGGGGCUUGAUCUUGGAAGAACGAUGAACGAAGAACGAAGAACACUUUCUUCAAAGGCCGUCGGGGCUUGAUCUUGAAUUGGUGAUUGUUGAUCCAAGGGCCGUCGGGGCUUGAUCUUGGAAGAACGGUGAACGAAGAAUGAAGAACGAAGAACACUUUCUUCAAGGGCCGUCGGGGCUUGAUCUUGAAUUGGUGAUUGUUAAUCAAAGGGCCGUCGGGGCUUGAUCUUGGAAGAACGAUGAACGAAGAACGAAGAAGGCUUUCUUGAUUCUUCGGGAUGAACGGAUGAUGAACAAUGAACACUUUCUUCAAGGGCCAUCGGGGCUUGAUCUUGAAUUGGUGGAAGUUCUUCAGGGCCUUUGGGGCUUGAUCUUGAAGGUGGAUGAUUGUUGAUCCAAGGGCCGUCGGGGCUUGAUCUUGGGAUGAACAGUUGUGUGGAUUUGUUGAACACUUUCUUCAAGGGCCGUCGAUGCUUGAUCUUGAAUUGGUGGAAGUUCGUCAAGGGCCGUUGGGGCUUGAUCUUGAAGAAGGAUUUGACGAAGAACGAAGAGAGCUUUCUUGAUCCUUCGGAAUUUGCUUGAAUUUGGGAGGUUGGAUGCUUGAAAGCUUUAGAGUUUCAAAGCUUCAAGGAUUUUGGAUGUGUGGGGAGUAUUCUCUUACAUUUUGGGAGUAGAGAAAUGUAUUUGUGAAUUGGUUUUUGAUACCUUGAUGUAGAAGCCUAUUUAUAGGCUUUGAGAAUGAAUCACCACCACAAAAUAUUUUUUUCUUUUCCAAGCACCAUUGCCUAAUUUCCCACUUAAUACAAUUUUAAACUUGAAGUGGUAAUUUUAUGGCCUAAUUUUCCACUUAAUAUCAUUUUAAACUUGAUAUGUGCAUGCUUUGUCAUUGCCCAAAAUGAGAAGAAAACCUUGUUUUGAUCUUCAAUGGAUUGAAAUGUGCUUUGCCUUGUCAUUGCCCAAAAUGAGAAGAAAAACUUGUGUAAUCCUCCAAGGGUAUUUCUUUUUAUUUUGUUGAGUCACACACCAUGUGUACAAUUUGUAUGACACGUGGCAUAUGCCAUAUAUGCCUUGACACGUCAAAAUUUUAAUGCGUUGGUGAACAUUUAUUUCACCGCAAUUUCGAUGUCUACAAUUUCAUUUCUUGUGAAUAAUGUUUAUCCUGUGUUCUGUCCAAUCGCGUAUUAAAAAAUGUGUGAAGUUUGGAUUAACCACACUCUUUUAGAAUUUCCUUUAUUUACCACUUUUUGAGAAUUUCCAAUAAGACUGGGUGAGUCUCCGCUGAGAAUUUCCUCAACUAACACCACACUACUUGAGGGAUAAUUUGUUAUAUCUUUGAAUAAAGAAUAAAACAGUUUCCUACUUUUGAAGGUACUAUUAACUUACACUAUAUUUGGAUGAAGGUCAAACUUUAUAAAUUGACAUACACCAAAUUCUUUGUUUGGAUUCAUAAACAUAUAAAUUUAGAAUUUCCGCGUGGAAAAAAAAAAUACUUAGAAUUUGAGACCUCCAAUUCUCAAAUUGAAAGUUUAAAAAUAAUAAAUUCCGUAUUCAAUUCAAUUGUUCUUUUAGGUUAACCAAAUAAGAAAAUUCACAAAUUCUAAAAUAUAAAAUCUCAUCAUUUCAAUUUCCGUCAUUUUAAAAUUCCUUAGUAAUAUUAAAUUUCUUCAUCCAAACAUAGUGUUAAGAAAUUUUUUAAAGAUACACUAUUUACACUCAUUUUUAUUUCUUACACAUUUAUUAACUUUGUCCAUUGAUUUCUUCAAUUCAUUUUGCCAGUUAUACAAAAAUUGAGAACAGUAUUUAUGAAUUAAAAAUACAUUUGUAGAUGUCACUACCAAAUUUUUAUUCCUAAUUCAAGAAAAUCUUAUCCAUAUAUGAUUGCCCUUGCCCACUUUAAAUGGGUGCCAUCACUUUACGAUAGAGCAAUCCUAACCGUCCACCUAGGUAAGCAUAACUGGCGAUGCAUGUCGCAAGGGGACCGCAUUGCACAAUAUAAUUAUACUAGUUGAUAAGACAAGUGAUGUCAAUCAAUAAAUUAUUUCAUUAAAACUUAGUUGUAUGUAUCAUAUGUUGUAAUGUAGGGUGUAUGAUAUGCUGACGCUGUAAAAAAAUGUAACCUUUUUAAUAUUACUCAUAAUAGUAAGACUUACCAGUAUUAGGAUGUUAUCAGUGGAAUGAGAAUCCUCUCCAGAUCUUUUUUGUGAGCUAUUAUUUGUAUUUAAUUUUAAAUAUAAAAAAUUAAAAUAAUUUAUGACGGCAGUGAUUCACAUGAUCUUCACAAAGAGAAUCCAAAUAAUCUUAAUUUAUAUCAGUGUGUCUAGAUAACAUGAUCGAGCCCCUUUACUUUUACCCUAUUUAGUAUUUUACAUUUGAACCUGUAAAUAUUCGAUUUUUCUUUGGUGCAACCGAGCACCAAAUAUAGAUUUUUUUUCACUUUUAUAUAAUGAUAAAUAAAGGGCAAUUGGCAGAUUUGAAUUCCAUUCGGAUUGGUCAAAAAUCAUUUUAAAUUGUUUUAUUUAAAAUUAAACACAUAUAGUACUUAAUAAAAAUUAGUCGUACAAUAUACGAUAAACAGAUAUAAUGUAAGGACCUUUAUGAUCUUCACAAAAAAGAUCCAAAGGUUGUGUAGCUGUUUCAAAAGGAUAAUACUCACUUUUGAUUAGUUCAAUGAAAUUUUAAACAUGUUUUAUUGUUUUAAAAAAUAAUAAACAUAUUUAUUAAUGUUUGUUUUACUUUAAAAAAUAAGCAGCACUUGACAACAUUUGAUUGUGCUAAAUAAAAAAUGAGUGACCACUUAGUACUACAGUCUUAUGAUAUUUUUCUUCAUUUGAAAGUGAGAGGUUUUAAGUUCGAAUCUCGUGGAUGACGAAUUUGAUAUCAAAUUAGAUUGCUCACUAUGUGGCUUAGCCGAACUCUCAUUUCCUUUAAUGUAAAAAUAUUGAUGUAUUCAAAAAAAUAAAAAGUGACUAUAGAGGACACUCAAUCUCAGCUGUAUGAUUAAAUCAGACGGUAAGAAAAAUUCUGCAAGCAUACUCGGUUACAUUAAUUGAAGAAAAAAUGGGUAAAUAUUGGGCACCAACGUUAUAAAUACCCUCCACCAUGCACCCAACUCCCUCACACCAUCACAACCCACGUUACAAAUCCUCCUCCUCAUCAUAACCAUUCUGUUUUCCGCAUAAUAUCCAAAAACCUAUCAUGUCUGAAGAGAAACACCACCGCGGUCUCUUCCACCACCACAAGGAUGAAGACAAACCCUCAGACUACCCUCAGUCUGGCUACUCUGAUGAAGGACGUCCCGGCGGCCUCGGUGGUGGUUACGGCGACACCAAUGAUUAUUCUGGUGAAGGACGUACCGGCGGCCUAGGUGGUGGCUAUGGCGACACCAAUGCUUAUUCUGGUGAAGGACGUCCCGGCGGCUAUGGCGGCUAUAACGAGACCACUGCUUACUCUGAGGAAAGAGUUGAAAGACCCGGCGGUGGCCGGUACAGUGAGACUACUGCGGCAUAUGGCAGCACCACCACUCAUGAAUCUGAACUUGAUUACAAGAAGGAGGAGAAGCACCACAAGCAUCUCGAGCACCUCGGCGAGGCCGGUGUAGCUGCUGCCGGCGCUUUUGCCUUGGUACGUAUUGUAUUUUAACCCACCUCUAUAUAUAUAUAUAUUAGAAUAAUGCUAAUAAGACCAAAUUUUGAAAACUAAAUGAUGUGGUUGUUGAUAAUGAACUUAUUACUCAAGUCUUGAUUAACAUGCUUAUUUUCUAAUAGUGACACAUUAUUUGGUUUAGAAAUUUGGUCUUCCUAACUUUAUCAUUCUCAAAAUUUUCAUGAUUUUGAUAGGGUAAUACGGGAGAUCAAAAUUUCUAAACCAAAUUUGCAAACCAAUAGAUGAUUGGAUUAUUAAUUAAGUAUCGAUUGUUUGUUUCUUAUUAACGACAUAUCAUUUGAUUUACAAUUUAGUUAAAAAAAAUUUAUUCUUUCUGUCAUAUCCUUUUGAAUAUUUGAUCACUUUACUCUUUAUCACUUUACCCUUGAUCACUUUACCCAUACUCUUGCAACCGAAUCACCGUCCUCCUCCUUAACCUUCAUUUUUUUGUCUUACAGUACUCCAAUCUAUCAACUCUGUCCAUUGCAACUUUAAUUGUGAAGAAAAUUAAAGUCCUAUCGUAAAAUUAAUUAGUGAUAUGGAGAGUUGCGCAAUUAUUGAUGGACUAGGUAGGUAAGAUACGGAAUCAAAGUCUACCAUUAACAAUGGACGGAAUUGAUGAACCAUAUAGGUAUGUAAGAUACGGAAUCAAAGUCCUCAUGUAAAUGGUACAGUUGCAAUCAGGAGAAGAAAUGAGUUAACUGAUACCUUCGUAAUAGUUCAUGUAGAGUUUUGAUAUUAUUAAGCCUUAACCACCUGAUCUUAUAUAUACGAGGACAAAUCUAAUCAAAUAUGUGUUAAUUUCAAGGUUUGUUUUACAUUGAUGUGAGAUCGAUGCUAGCAAGAUAUAUAACUUAUGUCAGUUUCUAUAUGAUGUGUGUAGCAUGAGAAGCACAAUGAAAAGAAAGACCCAGAGCAUGCCCACAGGCACAAGAUAGAAGAGGAGAUUGCUGCAGCAGCUGCAGUUGGUUCGGGUGGAUUUGCCUUCCAUGAGCAUCAUGAGAAGAAAGAGACAAAGGAAGAAGAGGAAGAGGCUUAUGGAAAGAAGAAGCACCACCACUUCUAGAUCUAUGUGGAUUGUGGAACAUCAUCUUUUGACUACAUAUGCAAUGUUGUGUUUUUACUAGUUAUCAUGUGGUGUGAUCAGUGAGAGUGUGAUGCUUAAUCUCAACAAUAUCGCUACAAUAGUUGAGUGGUUAAAUGUCCUUUUCAAUUAAUGGGUGCUAUCUGGUUUUCUUUUAGCAUGCCAUCUAUGUAUGUAUGUAUGUAUGUAUGUCAUUGUUAUUGUUCAUAAUAAUACUGUUUACUCGGUGUUUAUUUCCUAGUGGCCACAUCUCAUUUUAAAUGAUUUCUUCAUACCAUUAAUUUUUUAAAUGUAAAGACUCAGUAUCCAUAUAACUACGAAAAUUUUUGACAAAACAAAAACAAGAAAAAAGAAAAGGAAAAAAUGGCUUAGCAAGUUUGUAUCCUAUAAGACAAAUGGGUACGUGGAACGAUGGACAUCUCACAAUGGUUUUUGAAUCGUCGGAUCAUCAUGGUUGGACUAUAUAAUUAUCAUUGAUAUAAUAUAAAUUUUGAUUUUUUUUUAGGAAAUUAAUAUCUGAAAACAAUAUUGAUGUACUGCAUUUGUUUUGGACGAUAUUAUACUUUAAUCCAAAUUUUGAGAAAAAAAAAACAUAUCGAACUCAGGUGUACAAGAGUGGCUUUGCUACCCAUGUACAGGGCUAGUUCUGAGUUUUUGGGUGCCCAGUGCGAAAGCUCAAAAUGUGACAUUUUUUAAUACGAAAACAUAUAUUAAAAAAAAUAUUUAAUGAGGGCUGGAACCCAGUCGAAGCUGGAGGGCUAGGACCUCACGCCCAAAUUAUAUUACUUGAGAAAAUAUACAACUGAGGAGGGGACAUGGUACCUAAACCCCGACAAUCAAAAGUACAAUCAUAUACAACCACUCCUAGCAAAUCUCCUUCAAAUUUCAACCUUUAAGAAAUUGUCUUCUGGCAUUUUUUGAAGCAAAAUCAUCAAUUAUAUCAUCAUACUCCAAGUCUUCAAUCUCAUCAUUUUCAAUGCAUAAGAUUGCUAAUCCAUUUAGCCUAUCUUGAGUCAUAGUGGUCCGCAAGUAAGAUUUUAAUAAUUUCAAUUUUGAAAAACUUCUUUUUGCAGAUGCCAUGGUCACAAGUACAGUUAACAGUACACGAUAAGCAAUCAAGACAUUAGGACACAUGUCAGUUUCUUUUACAAAAUUUGCUAUUUCCAUGGAUGUCCAAGGGUUAUUAGAGAGAAAUGCUUCUUCAGGUAAUAUCAUUUGCAAAACCUGCAAUUCGGAAUAUAAGUCAACUCCAUCUACAUCCAUGGUAUUUCCAUGUUUCAAAUGUGCUUCAAGAUUCAUACAAUUUUCUUUUAGCUCUUGAUCAUCCAAUGAAAUUAACUUUGGUGCAUCAAACAAGAAGCCAAAAAUAGAUUCAAAGGAUUUUAACUGUUCAAACUUGUGUUUCAGUUGAGAAAGAGCAAUAUCCACUAUAACAAGAAAAUAAUAUUUCCUAAAUGAUUCUUUAGCAGAUUAUUGUUCCCUCUCAUUACCAUCAACUUCAUCAUGAUGUCUUUUUCUAGGUCUAUGACAUUUAGUUUGAAAAAACAGGGUCAAUUUCCAAAUCAAGUGCAAUUUCAUUAGCAUCACUCAUGGCGGAAGCAAAACCAGUUUCUCUGUAGUUUCCAAAAAAUGUAACAAAUGCUUCAAAUGCCUUUACAGCAACAUCAAGACGCAUGUCUUUAGAUUGUAAUUUUAUGCUCACCAUGUUAAUCUUCAACAAAAUGUCAUACUAAAUAACCAAACUUAAUACAAAAUCAAAACUUGAAAGUUCGCCUGAUGCUAAACAUCUUGCAUCCCUACUUAAUUGAGGAUUUUCAGUAAUUUCCACCAAUUAAACAAAGCAUUUCUAACCUGGGCUACUUGAGACUUAAUUGCUUUAACAUUUUCAAUGUGACUUUCCCAUCGAGUAGUUGACAAUGACUUCAAAGUUAAACCAUCAAUAUGUUCAACCAAAAUAUUCCAACGCUUUGUAGAGUUGGAAAACACCAUAUAUAUGCAUUGACAUGCUCUAAAAAAAGAUUUUGCUUUAAGACAUGAACUUGCCAUAUCACAAACUAUUAAAUUAAGCUAAUGAAAACCACAUGGCAUGUAAAAGGCUAUGGGAUUUAUGUCUAACAAUCUUUUCUGGACAACUUGGUGUUUCCCUCUCAUGUUAGAUCCAUUAUCAUAACCCUGUCCCCUCAUAUCAUCAAUAUCAAGGUCUAAAAUAUCGAUAUUAUCCCGAUAUUUCUUUCGAAAUUUCUGUGUUUUUGGAUUACCGAUAUUUCCGAUAUCAUCGAUAUUUUAGACCUUGAUAGGAACUCUAUGUGAUACUAAGUCACUCAUGUAUCUUACCAUGCAAUGUAUAAAGUGUAAAAUAUUGUAUUAAUUCAUUAUAUAUAAAUGAUUAUGGUGUGUUUAACUUCUUUCAUUAAUUACUACAUAUUUUCUACACUCAAAAUGUUUGUCAGCUCACUAUAUAAUCAACUUAAAUAAGUUAAAUCCAUCAUGAAAUGCAUUUCGUUCCAAUUUUUUGUAAUAAACUAGUAGAUAAUUGACUAAAUAAACAUCCUGCAAAGUUUCAAUAAAAAUUUCCAAGUUUUUCUUAUAAUUUCCGUGGUUUUUAUUCAAUUUUUAUCGAUAUCGAUAAUAUCCCGAUAUUUCCAUCAAAAUUUCCGUAUUUUUGGACUAUCAAUAUUUUCGAUAUCAUUGAUAUUUUAGACCUUGAUCAAUAUCAAGAUCAAGAGAUUUUAGGACAUCUUGCAGCUCGUUAAAAAGCCCUUGUCCUAAUGUAUCUUUCACACUUAAAAACUCCAUGAAAUACUCCCUUAUAUUUAUUGACCUACUUGACAAGUCAACACAUCACAAAAUUAAAGUCAUCUGUUCCACAUGACUUGCAUUAGGAGUACAAUCAAGAAUGACAAAAAAAAAUUUGGCUUCUUUUACUUUUUUAAUGAUUGCGGUUUUGACUUUUGAAGCUAAAGUAGCUAUCAACUCAUUUUUGUUGGAAAUGUGCCCUAAAACCAAUCAUAUGAUGAUACUUUACGAACGUUUCACAUGUUAAACUAAUAUAGUUUAAUAUAAAGGGCAAAAAUUAUUGUUUGUAGCCGUCUCAUAUAAAUGUUAUACGCUUAAACGAUAAGUCCAAGGAAUAUGUAAUUGGGAGAAUGCGAUCUAAAGAAGUUAGAUUCAUGAGACCAUUCUCUUCCGUAUACAUAUCCUAAACGUUACUGAUCAUAGGAUUGUCAAUUGGGCAUUGAUAGUCUGUUAAGAUCAGUACGUGUUAUGUCUUCUCUUAAGGAGAGUGACUGGUCUCGAGUCAUUGGUGUGACUGACACCAAGACAAGCAUGUAGGUGCUCAAUAGAGAAUGAGUCCACUGAACACGAUCAACAAGGAGUUCUCAUACUCAUGUCACAUGAGAACUCGUGGUUGGAAUAAUGCAAAGUAGUCAUUUGACCUGAGGCAUCAUAGUUGUCUUGUGGUUAGGUCCUUGAUCUUUGACUAUGUCAAAGUCACUCCGUCAGAGGGUGUCCAUUGCAUAGUUGGGGUUAAGCCACUUAGCCAUGGAGGCAAGUGAAUGCACAAUAAGGGAUCUCUAACCUUCAAACUAUUUGAGGGAGAAUACUCUAUGAUAUGAUUAAGAAUCUCUGGCCAGAGUAUGAAUGAUAUUUAAGAAGUCGUUCCAAAUCACAUUCAAGGUAAUCAUAUAAGUAAGAGAAUCACAUUGGAUAGUAGACAUGAAUAAACUAUCAAACCAAACAAUGUGGUCAAGAGUAUUGUAUUAGAGUAAGACCGUAUUGCAUUGUAAUCCUAAACUAAAUAGGUUCUCCACCUCUUCUGAUCAGCUUGGGUAACCAUGACAUACUGCUAGGUGUUACUCAUGAUUUGUGGAAGCCCUAAACGUGUAUAAUCACUAAAGGGAGAAUUGAAAGUAAGUUUCAAUUUACAAUCGAUUUGAAAGAGUUCUAAUCGCUCACUGCCUCGCUAAAAGGAACCUAAUGGAUCGUACACCGUGUAAGGUAGAGAUUGAAAAAACAACGGAGAUAAGUAAGGACAAUUAAAUGGUUUAAUUGUUUAUGACAAGAAUUAAUUAAUAUGUUAAUUAAUCAAACGAAUAAGUUCGGGUUAAACCUUGAGUUAGUUUUGGGCAUUAAAGCCCAAAUUGGGCUUCGAAUCUUCAAACCCAUUAGCUUAAGUUGUAUGACAACUUAACAAACAAAAUUCAAGAAGCCCAAAACAGCCCAAAGGCUUGGGAAAACCAGCCAUAUAGAGAGGGGUAGUGAACUUGGCUUAAUUGCAAGUUUGCCAUUCCAUUGUGAGGUGGUAUAAAGGCAACUUUAUAGCCAUUUCAUCCUUAGGGUUUCUUUUGGAGAAAAGAUGAGAACACAAGCUCCCUUUUCUCUCUAAGAGGCUGGCCACCCUAGAGGAUUUUAGCUAGCAAUCUUACUUCCUCUAGGUCACUCAUCUCUUCUUCAAGUCAUUCCUUGGUGUGGAGACUUAGAGGUUCCUUUCAACCAUCUUCAUCCAAGAAAUCCAUGGAGCUAAGAAGCAAGGAAUGAAGGCCCUCGCCUUGGGUGAUUAGCCUUUGCUUAUGCAAAGAGGAAUCAACAAAGGUAUAAAAUUUCUCAACUCACUUUGUUCUUGAGUUGAGUCUUGGUUCACAUAACUACUAGGCUUUGAAUUUCAUGGGUAAUGUUUUGUUUUGAGUGCAUACAAGCAUGAUUCCGCCUUUAAUUGUUAAUUGCAUGCCAUAGAUGUUGCUCAAAUGAACAUGUUUCUCACAAAAUUUCCUUCAAUUUUGAAUUUUAUGGCUCAAAUAGUGAUGAUGAAUCUCUUUAUUCUCAAUAAGUCGAAAAUGCUAUUGCAUUAUUGGAUCAAACUCCGCAUUCAUUUCAAGUAAACCUAAGAAGUUGCCAUUAGAGUCUUCAUAAAGUCUUUCAUUUGUUCCACGAAAUGCUAAAUUACGUAUGGCAAGACAUUUCAUAACAUCAAUAAUUCUAAGCAUCACUUGUUUCCAAUGAUUUGGCUCUUUCUUGAUUUGCAUUUGAAAUUCUUUGUCAAUUGUCUGAUUUUUUGUCAAUCUACUUUUCAACUCAACCCAAGUUCUCGAAUUAAUGAGAUGCUCUUUACUCUUUUCAUAUUGGUCAAGCUUCUUACCAAGAUGUCUCCAAUCACUAGUUCCAUCUUUUGCUAACUCACUUUUUGAGGCAAUUAUUUUAAACAAUUUACAACAAAAGCAAAAGACUUUAUCCAACUCUUUUGAGUACACGAGCCAUUUCCUAUCGUAAAUUUUACCCGUUCGUAAUUUUCGAUCAUAGUAGUGUGAGGAAAAUUUUCUAGAGAAUUUGUCCUUAGGAUAAGUGAAUUAGUUUCUCAAAUUGGUCCUUUUUCUACAAGUAAGUCUCUCAUUUUUGCAUUAAGACCAUCCCAAACUAUUGGAUCAUAAAUGUCUAAAUGAAAAAUAGGUUCAAGAGAUUCAAUAUUUUCUUCUACACCAAAAUGAUCAUCAUCAACAUUUAAAUCCACAUCACCACCAUUUUCAUGAUCUUGAGACUCAUCACCAACAUUUUCCUCUAAAUCACCACAAUUUUCUUGGUCAUGAGACUCGUCAUUAACAUCUUUCUCCACAUAACCACAAAUUUCAUCAUCAUGAGACUCCCCAACAAUAUUUUGUGACUCUUCACCAACAUCAUUUUCUCUCAAAUUUUCAACCGACUCAUUCUUUAUAGAAUUUUUUUUAUUAAGAGAUCCUCUUAAACUUUAGGCAAUUUCGUUAUCCUUUGCCUUUUUUUUCCUUUUCAUAUUACUAGAGAGUUAUUUUCUAAAAGACAUGGCUUUGAUAAUUUGUUUGCAAAAAUUACCUACAUAUGAUAUAACAAAAAUUUCCUAUUAAAAUUAUCAUCAACAAUUCAAAAAUUACCUACACAUGAUAAUCAAGAAUUCAAUUCAUCAACAACAACAAUUCUAUACAUCAAUUAUCAUAUAAUUCUGUCACUUGCAAAAUUUAUAUUAAAUUAUGAAUUAAUAAUUCAAAUUAAAAAAUUAGUUUACCUCAAAACUCAAAAGGGUUGUUGAAUGCAAGGACUUGUGGGCCUGUGGCUGUCGGGUUUGGAAGCUGUAGCCUGCAGCAGCGCAACAAAUUAUCAGACGGUAAGGGCUAGGGCAGUGGGGUAACAAUGGGGUGGGGAAUCGGGAAAAAGGGGAACUUAGGGUUAAUUGGGGGGGGGGGGGGCGGGGACGAGUGGUCCCCUUGUGUUGUUAUUUUUUAUUUUUUUAAUGGCCAAAACCUGGGCUGGUCUUUUUUUUUUAAUUUUUUUAUUAUUUAUAAAUGCCCAAAACCUGGGCCGUUCCCUUCAUUUUCAAACUUGGGCCUCUUGCCCUCUAGUUCUUAUUUUGGGCUCUGGACAAAUUUUUUUUAUACCUAAUUAUUUGGACUUUUUUUUUGGUGCCCCUUUCAAUUUUGGGCCUUGGAAUGGCCCUGGUUGCACUGGGCCUGGGCCGGGCCUGCCCAUGUAUAUGUUAUCUUGUGAUUUGACAAGUCAUAUGUAUAUCAUAUCAAUUUUAUCUCAAUUGUGGUGAUGGUACAUAAUACUUACUACAUCGUAUGGCAACAAAUAAAUAUGGGCAUAAAGAUAAAUAGAAUGGUAUCAGUAAAUUAAGGUCUUCACAUUACGAUUAUAUUUAUCUCUAUUUUUAGUGGAAAGUUUUAAGGAUAAUUUUUUUUCUGCCUCCUACAUGGGUCUCGAUUCUCCUCUACGGUAAAAAUCCGUAUGUUUUAAAUAUUGAAAAGUUAAUUUAGCCCAAAUCCUUGCCUAUUUUAGGGAAAAUAAAAAAAAUUCAUUUUUAACCCUUUGAUUACUUAUAUCACCUAGUAUAACCUUUUUUUUUGUGUGAUACAAACAAAUAUUUUUGUUUGGGCCCAAAAUAUUAUUUUAGGCUGAGCUUAGGUCAUUCUCGGCCUAGUGGCAUUCAUUUAGAAUUUUGUUAUGGGCCGUCCAGUUAAGGUCAGCCGAAUCCUAUUAUGAAAAGGUUUGGUUUGGAUAAGGGUGAGUUGGUCGAUACUAGUGCAACAAGGAUUCUGAAGACUAAGGACAUUGAGAAUUAAAGGGUGAAUUUGGUUUGUUAAGAAGCUUGGUUCAAAGUCCUACAGGAAUUAGGAUUGGUUGAAACCUGAUCGGAUUGGGUUGAGGAGUUCUAAUCCUAGUCCAUUUCUAGUUCGGCUAUGAGGGGAUUCAUUAUUAUAAAUAGAGAAGGGAGUGCAUCAUUCAAAGCCCCUCCAAUUCAACACACAAAUUGCCUUGUGCAAAGCUUCUCAACAACCUUUGAGAUUUUAUCCACUUCCUCUUUCUUUUGCCAACACAUCUUCAGUUUGGAUAAAUAGCACUGUGAAGGCAACCGUCGACAUCUUCAGUUUGGAUAGACUGCACUAGAGCCGUAAAAUUAGCCGACCAAGGAGCACCUUUAGUUUGGAUGGACAACACUGCUUUGAGGCCGACUGGCUAUUUAUUCAAGUCUCGGCUGAGAAGGAUUUUCAAAUCCUUGUUGGUAGAGGUCAUCUCGUCAGCCUUCUCGGCAAAGUGAGGUGUUACAGGUUUCUGGGCUCGGCACAUUGAACGUUGAGUUUUGUUUUAUGAUUAGAUACUCACAAGUAAGUUUUAGAGUUUGGCAUUCCGAUGGCCGAAUCACAUUUACAAUCAAGAUAUAUAUUUCUUUCGAGUAUUUGUGUCUGUAUAGUUUGGUACCAGUUCGGCAUGCUUAUACUCUCACGAAUAUAAUCACUAUGAUCGAACCUGAUGCCGAUGAUUUGUGAACUUCAUAGAACUAGCAACCUUGUCUUCAGGCAUUAUAAUCCAAAGGCCGAGACAUGUUCCUUCAUCGAUCGCAGUCGUAAGAUCGAGAAGUCAGCAGCGCGCCCAACGAGACAUCAACACAUUCUAUUCCUCGACCGAGUUGGCACGCCCUGCACAUAACUGAAGGACGUAGUUAGCUUAUUAGUUACUCAGCCUAUGCGUCACGUAGGCUUCAUAGUUUUUAGUGUCAACAUUUUGGCAUGCCCAGUGGAACCCAGUGUUAAAGCUACGAAGUUCAUGACCAUUGAGACACGGUCAGUAAAAAAGAAACCAGUAAUGGGAAAGUUGACAACUAAUCUUCCAGUCUAAAACUCAUGACAAGAUGGGUUGUUAUAGACACAGAUUCAUGCUGCUGCCAUGACACCUGAAGCCACAAGUGCGACAUGCCGAGAAAAGGAAGUGAAUCUUGGCAAUCAGCCUUGUGGUGCAGAAAUCCCCACCAAAACGACAAAAGGCAUUUUUGUUGAAGGAAUAGUGGAUGAUUAUGACGAGGACGGUGGUAAGGCCUCUGAUCCACCAACCAGGUCGUUUUUUCGACGACGACUUGAAGAGUAAUCUUGACAACUUGAGCAGAUGUUCAGCCGAGAGAUAAAAAAACAUAUUUAAAGAAAUGCGUGAUAAUAUCGCUGUACAUAAUUUAUUGCUCGAAGUUCUGGUUAGUAAAGUCCAUGACAUUGGACCCACCAAUCGAUCCAGGCAUCAUUUUUUCAGGAAUAACCCACUACCAAUAGUACAGGUCGAGACAUAAUCCACUUGGCUCAAAAUGAUUAACUUACAGAAAAGUGGUGGGUUAAUCAGCAGAUCAAACGGAUUCGACCAGAGAGCGGAAACGACAUAUGUUGAUAUGGUUGAAGUUUAGAGAAUGAUUGAUUCGGCCUUGAAAAAUGGGCCAAAGUUUCCAAAAUUCAUUCACCCAUAUCCUGCCUUUGUAGAAAAGUUUGAGUACCCAAAGGGGUUCAAGAUCUCUGACUUCAGCCUUUUCGUUGAAGAGUCGUCCCUAUUGUCAUUAAACACGUGGCUCAAUUCACUGCUCAAUGUGGGGACGUUAACAGUGAUUUCCAUAAGCUACGAUUGUUCAAUUUCUCGUUAACCAGCUCAGCAUUCGCAUAUUAUAUCAACCUCUCACCCAACUCUAUCCAAAGUCAGGAGGAACUGGUCGAGAAAUUUCAUGAGCAAUUCUAUCGACUGGGGAUGGACGUAUUAGUAUCUUCUUGGGCUAGGAUGGCUCAAGCCUCUGAUGAGUCACCAAUGGAAUACUUUACAAGGUUUAAGUUGGCCAGAAAUUGGUGUCGAGUACCUCUUCCUGAAGUCGAGUAGGCUUGCCCUGAAUGGCUUAGACGUGGAGUACAAGAAGAAAUUCUUAAGGGCAUACUUUCGAGAUAUGUACGAAUUGGCUCAGCAUGUCGAGCAAUAUGAUUAUUUUCUCUGAGAGGAAAAGAUCUCGAAGUUUUCAUCCCGAGGAACGAUCUACAAGAACUUUACGGUUAGCUAUGCAUCGGCCAAAGGCGAGGAGUCCCAAUAUGCUAGUAUAGACGUGGCCAAGAUAUUAAUCGACAAACUGUACAUAUGUAAAACAUUGGCUCAUGCUACCUGUUCAGCCUUUGAGGAAGCUGCCGUCAAAACGUUAAAAGUCUAUACUUUCGACAUCACUAAGGCUGAUGCCAUCUUUGACCAGUUAUUGCUUGCAAAAAUUGUCAAGCUUCAGCCAGGGCAUAAUAUUCCAAAGGUCAAGGACUUAAAAGGAAAGACAUAUUACAAAUACCACAACUCGAACAAGCAUACGACAAACAACUGUGUCGUAUUUCGCGAUGCCAUUCGAAACUGGAUAGAUAACGGUAAGCUUAAAUUUCCUGAGAAACCAAUGGUCAUUGACACCAAUCCUUUCCCUAUGACAACGGUAAGCAUGGUAGAUGCUCACCUACACAAGGAUAAGAGAAAAGGAAAAGCCGAGUUCAUCCCAACGCAAUACGUCCCUAAGCAGAAUUCUCGAUCACAAUUGAAAGUCAAUCUAUCCUUGGGUGAGCCACCCAGAUACUUUUCAAACCCAACUAAUACCGAGUCAAUAUCAAACUCCAGCACGGGAGAAAGUGACAUGCCAAUGGUUUUAUGCAGUUGGUGUAAAUCAAACGUCAUCAUAACUAAGCUGAAGGAAAAGCCACUUCGGACUGAAGCACCACUAACGCCUGUAGUUGUAGCAACACCUCAAAAAGUGCUUGGUACAGACCAACACCAUAAAGUUUUUGAUAGGCUCAGCCCUCAAACACGGAAUGACGGCCCGUCUUCGGCCCGAUAAUGACUUAAUUUCGACGUUUCGUUUUAUAAUGAAGAGUAUUAUGUGUGCAACUCCAGCAACUCGAGUUCAUCCGCGAACCAAAGAAACUUCAAGUCACCUGAGCCAUGCGACUAGUGUUGGUAUACCUACAAUUCCCUACCGAUGUAUAUAUUGCAUUGUCCAAAUCGUAGAAACAUCAGCGCCAAAUAAUGGACUAUAUGGCUCGCCAAUGAGCAGCCCAGACUACCUCGGUCACCAAGUGGCAACUGAAAGAAACGGUAGAUAACGAAGAUGAUUGACAACCUUCGGCCAUCAUGGUUGAGUUGCUUCAAGGAAAGAAAGUGAUCGAUCGUGACUUUGAAACCAUGAUUGAAGAAUCUGAAAAGUGAAUCAAACUCUUUCUUCGGCCUAGGGAGAUGAAAGCUUGCCUCGAGCACUUUCGGAAAGAAGUUGAAAACAAACUUCCUUUACUACCCUCGCAAGAGCCAUUAAUUAAAGUUCGAAGGAAUCUUCACCCGCCAUUUCUUAACAAAGCUUUAGAAUACAUGCAAGAGUUCCAUAUAAAAACAUUCAGCUAAUGGUUAAUAUUGCAUGCCAAAAGCAUGCCAAGAGGCUCUUGAUCUAGUAUUAACUUGCCCCGAUGCCGAACAAAUCAUCCAAAAGACCAUGGAUCAGAGGAUGAAGGCUAGAAUCCAGCAUAUACUCGAGGCUUGAGUUCUCUACUUUGAGGUAGACCCAUAUACUGAUAUCGAUCCAACCGACCUUCCUUUCUCCCUUAAGGACCUCCAAUAUUUACUGUAUCAUUUUGAAAUUUUCUCGGCAGUUGCCCUCUUUAAUCUUACGACUGAUGAGAAAGAACGUAUGGCGUGAUUAGAUGCUUACUUAGACACAAGAGACGCCCGCAUCGUAUAUCAGGAGCGGACUCACAAGGCUUCACAAGAGCAACACCAAGUCCCCACGUUGAGCGAGCCUAAAGUUGAUGGUCAGAACGAAAUGGGUUUGGUGGAUGCACUGUAGGGACGGGUUCUCUUAGCUGCCGGAGAGGAUCAGCCAGAUAAUGCCCAUAAGCAAAAUACUUCGCCUGAAAAUCUAGAAGACAAAGAUCACGACCCAAUGGGUUCUUCGGUCCUUGAUAACACGGAAAUCAACAUGGUCCAUGUCUUACCUGCCGAGUUCUAGCUAAUUACAUCUCAACCAAACUUUAUGGACGACGUCAAAGUCGCCGAGGAAGCCGCACAAGUCGAUUUUUUGGCCACCGAAGAGAUCGAGCAAGUAAGCAAAGAAGAUAAACUUAAGGCAGCUCUUGCCAAUUUGUUCCCCCGCUAUUCGUCAGUUAAUUUUCAUCAUUUAAAGCCAUUGUAUGUUAUAGCUCGUAUUGAAGGAUAUCUGGUUUCUAAAAUUUUUGUCGACUACGAAGCAACGGUCAACAUCAUGCCCGUUUCUAUCAUGAAGGCAUUACGUCGCUUUAGCAACGAACUCAUUCCAUUAGGGGUAACCAUGAGCAGCUUUGUCGAUGACAAGUCCUAAACCAAAGGAGUGCUUCUUUUAGAGGUAAAUAUCGCAUGUCGCAAUCACAUGACCGAGUUUCUCAUAGUUGAUUUAAAGACUGAGUAUAAUUCCUUGCUUGGUUGUGAUUGGAUCCACCAAACAAGCUGUAUCCCUUCGUCAUUAUAUCAAGUCUCAUCUUUUGGGAUGACAAAUCAGUCGUGGUUCAUCCAGCCAACAAUCAGUUGUUUGAAGCUAAUAUAAUUUAGGCUCGUUAUUACAAUGAUCACAUCGGCUACAUCACCAUAUAAGGUUUUAAAGGGGAAGGACGGCCAACUUGAAUCUUAAUUUAGAAAGCCAUUGAGGUUGGAAAACAUUGUGACAAGAUUCGGCGUACCAAAAAUAAUUAUAACAGAUAACGGCAUAAUUUUUACAGCCGACAAGUUUAAAGAAUACGCAGCGAGUCUAAAAAUUCAGCUCAAUUAGUCCACGCCAUAUUACCCAUAAUCAAAUGGACAGAUCGGAGCAAGUAAUAAAGUUUUAAUCGGUAUACUUGACAAAAUGAUAAAAGAAAAGCCUGGUAUGUGGCAUUUGAAGUUAAACGAGGCAUUAUGGGCAUAUCGAACUUCACUCUGAUCAGCAACAGGGAUGACCCCAUAUGCGUUGACUUAUGGGCACGACGCGAUGCUACCGGUCGAGCUAAGCAUAAACUCGUUAUGAGUUAUCGAACAAAGUAGUUUAUUCAGUGCCGAGUACAGUCAGGCCAUGAGGUAAGAGUUGGAGGACUUGGAGGAAGCUCGGCUCGAUGCCUAUAACUUACUGGUGGUGCAUAAAAAGAUUACCGAACGAGCUUAUAAUCGAUGAGUUAGGCAAAAGACGUUCGGUGAAGGUGAAUUAGUAUGGCAAACCAUGUUACCAGUAGGGAUUAAAGACCUUAGAUUUGGGAAAUGGUUGCUGAAUUGGGAAGGACCAUUCGUCAUCCACAAGGUUCUUGGCAAGGGGGAAUACCACUUGAAAAAGUAUUAUUCGAUUACUUGGGAAAUGCAAGAAUAAAGAAUUUAUUUCAUUGAUUUUCAAAGGACAUUUACAAGCAAAAUUACAAAGAGUCGAUCGGCCUACAACUACAACUAAAGACAAAAGUCCUAAAGAGUCGAAGGAAGAAAAGCUUCAAAAGUGGCUUUCAGUUCUAGCCAUCUUACUUCGCCCAUCGUGACCUCAGCCUGUCUUGUUCUUUUGUCAAGUUGUAGUUGAUGUAUCUGCUUCGAGCUAGCUGCAUACUCUGCCAGUCGAGGUUUAUUCGAAUUGAAAUCUAUUUCAAGCUCGGAAGCAACGGCUGACCUUUGACGUGGAAGUUUAGUGAUUUGGCGGUCAAGAUCGGCCAGCCGCUCACUCUUUGCUUUUAUGGCCUCGAGCUCUGGUCGGAUAGCUUCAUGAACGACCAUUGAAGCCUUGAGGUCAUCUUCUGCCUAAAGAGCCCCAUCAAAAAUAGCGAAGUAUUGUCGGGUUCGUUUUAGGAUAUAAGAUAGGUGAACGACAUUCUCAUUGCUUAGAAUGCCAUCGUUUACAAGGUCGUUCAUACAUUCUUCUAUAGAAUCGAGGCCUUUGUAUUCAAGGAUUUGCAUGGCUGAGAUAGACAAAAGCUCAUGCAGCUUGGCGAAGACACUGGACACGGCCGCGAUUGCAAAAGACUAGAUCGCGGUUGUUGAAGGCCUAGUCACCCCAGAAGUGUUUGAGAGGAGGGUGUCAAGCUUGACUUUCCAUGAAGGCUGCAUAAAAAGAGUUGUUAGAAAAGAGAAGUUAAAAGGACGGUAGAUAAGGACGUUGUGUUAGACCUACCGAGAAAAGACUUCGGCCAUGUCUGUUGGUUCGUUACUCGAACCGAGAGAGCUUAAUGGCCGAGCCUAGUGUUUAAGGCAACCUUUUAAUUCAUGUGGCCGAUAAAGGUUAUCUAUGUUUGAUGGCUAUUGGGAUGGCCAAGAAAUAUAAAUAACGCCAUUUGGCGCAUAGAAUUUUUGGAGAAAUGAGUAAUUAGGCACCUGGCAGUUAAUAUUUUCUUGGUUUAGAAUUCUAAAGCAAAAAAUUAAUAAAAGAAAAUGAUGACGAGUCUUACAAAGGUCGAAGUAACCUCCUGAAGAGGAAUGUCGAAAUUCUGGUCUUGAGGAUGAACCAACGUCUUUACCAUUGCUUCUGCCUCGACAGGAGGCACCGCUUCAUGUCCUGCACCUAUUUCAGUUGCAAAAGUGUCGACCUGGCCAGCCAUCUCAACUAUCGGUUGAGGAUUGGUGGUUGGUAGUUCAGCUGGUUGAGAGCGCCUCACCAACGGGGGUACUUCAUUCUCGUCAUCCUAUACAUAAAAGAGGAUUGGUCGUUAGUUGAGAGAUAUAGUCAAAAUAAAAGGAGAACAUUAGUAAAAAUGGUCAUACCUAUUCUUCCACAAUGAUUAUUGGAGUCUUCUUUAGAUUUGGCGGAGGGUUUCUCUCGGCUGUGGUGGCCUCAUUCUCCAAAGCAGUAGCUGCCACGCUAACACCAAGAAUAACGGCCGGCCUCGGGGUUGGAAAACCCUUGACUAAUGGGUUGAUGAUGGGUUCAACAACAGCCAGCAUAAUGGGUUGGAUCUUAGUUGAUUGAUCUGUCAGAGGAUUUUGCGGUACUCCAAUCGAGGCCUGGACGACAUGAGAAUGGAGAAGGGCACUAGGAGUGGUUGUUCCCGUGGUUUGACUCGAAAUGACAUAUAUCUCCCGUUCUUCAUUCUUUUCCUUUUUCUUGAGGCACUUUUGGGACCGGGCAAUGUUGCCAGUCGUCUCGACCUUUGGGCGAGGCCGUUUGCUCGGUGCGGUCGGUGCAAUAGGGGCUGCUGCAGAAGUUGGUUUGACUGAAGGAUGAGCGAGUUUCUUUUUAGUCGCGACCAUCGUAACCACAUUGACUCGUUUUAUGGCACGACCACUUGGAAAAACUGAGUUUAAGUCAGAACGAUGUUCAAAUUGAAUAAACAAACAAGGGAAGUAAAAGAUAUAUACCUUUAGUUGUUUCUUUGGAUUUUGGGACGAGUCUUCCUCGGUCGGUCGUCGAAAAGCUUCUUUGAAAUUUCCUCGACUGAAGUACUGAAGAAGUCCUUGACGUAAGCAUCUCACCAAUCGGCGAAGAUGCUAAUGCAAUGGGUUUUUGGGGUAAUCAGCCGAAGAUAGAAAUUGGUGCAUCGCUCUAAGAAUUCCCUCUCGGAUUCAUCACAUUCCCUUUAUGAGGAGCUGAAGAGGCGUUCUCGGCUCAAGGGUGAGCGGGAAGUGAGGAGUGGCAUAGGAUAGGCCUGGACAUAGCUCAGUGGAUAGGCCAUGAAGUCAGGAUGGCAAAUCUCCUAGCUGGCCCAUCGAGCAUCACAACCAAAUGGAAUGUCACGAGCUAGAACAAAUGAUCCAUAUGAUUGUCGGAGAUCAGCGUCUUCUGCUUCUUCCCACACCAAUGUAGGGAGCCUGAUGGAAGACAAAUAUUUCUGGCGGUGGCAGACCAGAAACUCGUCGUUCAACAAGUCUUCAAGGUCGAAGAAGUACUUGAAGACAUCUUCGGCCAAUGGGCAGGAGUAGGGUGUGAGGACAGUUGAAGGCUCAUUGCUUUGGAAGAAUUGAAGUGUAGGAUUUUUGGCCUCAAUGUGUAGAAGUAAACCUGCAACCAUAGUUGAAAGACUCAAAGUGGGCCGUUCUGGUGUGGGUUGAUUUUCCCGACGGAAACCUCAGCCAAGCAUCGAGAAAGGUUGGCAAUGAUGGUCGAGCUGAAGGGCAGGACGUGGCCACUAGCUAGCGCUUCAGCCACUAGCACAUUCUUGGCCAGGCACUUGUACGACUUGGUACAAAAGAUGAACUUAUUGUACUACUAGAACGAGAAGGUCUCGUGUUCCCCCUUCUUGAGAGCUUCCCCCUCCGAGCCAGCGAAGUGGGUGAUCAGGGUGCUAUAAUUGAAGAAGUUCUUGUGCAGCUUAUAUACAUCUUUUUUUCAACGGCUCCUGACCAUCCUUCAUCAAAGCUUCGACGACAUGUUCGUCAAAGACCGCCUUUAGAUCUAGGUCGAAUUGAUAUCGAAAAAGGGUGGUAUCAACUGAAAGACCAGAAAGGGGAGUGCCAAGUAUAGCCGUGACAUCCAGCAUUGUUGGGCCAAUGGGGCCAAGAGGAAGGACCAUAAUGUUGGUGGCCAAACACUAGAAACUCAGGGUGGCCAUUAGGAGUUCUCGAUCCAUGUUGAUCUCAAUGGUUGAUAGCUUAAUGGCAUCAAAGUUACUGAGAAUCUUCCAAUCGCCCCUGAAGUGUGGCUCCAUCCGGGUAGGGGUGGGUACUUGGAAUCAAAAAUCAAAACCGAAACACGAAUCGAAUCAGACCGCACCGAACAGUUUGGUUUUGUGAUUUUGAAACGGUUACGGUUUCAAAACCAAACCGCAGCAAAGAAAACGAUUUGGUUUCGGUUUUGGGGUUUCAAAACCGCACCGAAACCAAAACCGAAAUCGAAACCGCACCAUAUAUUGAAUAUUGAAUGUUAUGUUUUAAUCUAUUGUUUUGUGCAGCUCCAAUCUGAGUUUUUCAUGGCAGUAGGGCUCCCAGGCUCACAUUGCUCUCAUAAUCACUUUGCUUGUUAUGUGUAGCCCCAUUGCAGUAAAUUUUAAUACCGCGGGGCUCCUAUACAAUCUGUGAUACAAACCAACAUGAUAUUCUUAAAUUAGUAAUAAAAUUGACAACGAAUUUUUCUUACUUUGAUGAGAUAUGUAUGAAAUAUUCUGGGAAAAAAUGUACAUGCUAACUCUUGGAUAAUAACUACAAUGAGCGAUGGAAAAUACAUCCAUUUGUAUGCCAUUUAUUACCAAGGAAGUUGCAGAUAAUCGAGGCUAACAUUCUCAAGAGAAUGCUAAGUUGGUAACACAACAGGAAGUAGGUGGGAAAGAAAUACUUACCAGCUAGAGUAAGUCCCUAGGUGGACAAGGCAUAGAAUAAAUUGUACAUUUUUUUUCUCAAAAACCAAACCAAAACCGUUUGAAACCACACCGAACUGAACCAAACGGUUUGGUUUCAUUUUGGUUUUGGCUUCAAAACCGCACCGAACUGCACCGCAAAGAGUUUCGGUUUCGGUUGCGGUUUCACUUGAAACCGCACCGAACCGUACCGUGCCCACCCUUACAUCCGAGUGACCCAAGCAGCCCAGACCGUGAGGGUUGAUGGCCAACUCCCUAGGGUUUGGUCAAUUCCCACUUCGACCAAUCGUAUCCUUGAAAUAGGGGUUCAAGGCAAUGCGUCUUCAACAUCUUGGUGAUUGAUUCUGGGAUGUUUUCCUUGAAAAGUGGUCCCAGAGUUUGGUGGAAAACACUUGAAUCAUCCUCACACCGGAGGGAUUCGAUGGCAUUCUGGUUAAUAAAGUCUCAACAGUUGUCGCAUUCCUCGGCGAGCUUGGUGAUAUGUUAGAGGUUUAUUUUGCUUCUUCAAGGUUGACGCUCAGCUUAGAUUUGUAGGCCGAAUACCUUAGAAGCGAGGGGGCAAUGUUUGGGCCCAAAAUAUUAUUUUGGGCCGAGCUUAGGUCAUUCUCGGCCUAAUGGCAUUCAUUUAGAAUCUUGUUAUGGGCCAUCUAGUUAAGGUCAGCCGAAUCCUAUUACGAAAAGGUUUGGUUUGGAUAAGGGUGAGUUGGUUGAAUCCUAGUGCAACAAAGAUUCUUAAAGCUAAGGACACUGAGAAUUAGGGGGUGAAUCUGGUUUGUUAAGAAGCUUGGUUCAAAGCCUACAGGAAUUAAGAUUGGUUGAAACUUGAUCGGAUUGGGUUGAGGAGUUCUAAUCCUAGUCCAUUUCUAGUUUGGCCAUGAGAGGAUUCGCUAUUAUAAAUAGAGGAGAUAGUGCAUCAUUCAAAGCUCCUCCAAUUCAACACACAAAUUGCCUUGUGCAAAGCUUCUCAACAACCUUUGAGAUUUUAUCCCCUUCCCCUUUCUUUUACCAACACAUCUUCAGUUUGGAUAAACAGUACUGUGAAGGCAACCGAUGACAUCUUCAGUUUGGAUAGACAACACUGUAGCCGUAUAAUUAGCCGACCGAGGAGCACUUUCAGUUUGGAUAGACAACACUGCUUCGAAGCCGACUGGUAAUUUAUCCAAGUCUCGGCUGAUAAGGAUUUUCGAAACCUUGUUAGCAGAGGUCAUCUCAUUAGCCUUCUCGGCGAAGUAAGGUGUUACAUGUUUCUAGGCUUGGCACAUUGAACGUCGAGUUUUGUUUUAUGAUUGGAUACUCGUAAGUAAGUUUCAGAGUUCAGCAUUCCGAUAGCCGAACCACAUUUAAAAUCAAGACAUAUAUUUCUUUCGAGUGGGCAUGCCCCACGCAUAACUAAAGGACGUAGUUAGCUUAUUAGUUACUCGGCCUGCGCGCCACGUAAACUUGAUAGUUUUUAGGGUCAACAACUUUCAUUUUUUCAUUCCCAACCUACCCUGAAUUUAAAAAUGGAUAGAAACAUAAUUUUUAGGCCAACUUUUACUUAAUUUGUUGCUCUUUGCUUUGCCACUUUUAUGCCAAGUUCUUCUUCUUCUUUUUUGUCGAUAUGCUAAGUUCUUCUUCUUCAUCUUCGUCACUUUUUAUUCUUCCAUUUGUUCGUGUUAUACUUCUAUCUUAUAUGUUGGAAUAAAUUAUGUUGAAACUAAAUUCACGCAGUGCCAUAGAAGGUAAAGACACACAAAUUCGAGUAAUCUGUAAAAGAACAAACAACCAUGAGCUAACAAAAAACUAGGGGUGUGCCAGUCAAAGGCUCUCCGAUGGUCAAGUUAGUAAGCAAUAUAAAAUUAAAGAAGUAGACAAGAAAGUAAGUAUGCGAUAAUUGUGUUACCAGAGAAAAUCCUAGAAUGAUGUAUUUAUACUAGUUGAGGAUGGGAUGUUUUAGAAUAGUAGAAUUUGUAUUAAAUCGGGAGAAUCCUAGAGGAUAUCUAGAGAUAGAUAUUGCAUCCUCUUAGGAGUGUGAUUACUUACCGCACACGUCAAUCUUUUGAUUGUAAGGACUCCAAGAUUAAUUAUAAGAAACUUGCUGAUUUCUUGCUGGAUUUUGUUUCCAUAUCUUAUGGAAAAAGGUUAGUCUCAUCGAAAUCAUCAGACUUCACCCACUGAUUUCGGAACAGGAUGAUGGUGGCAUCGCUGCUUCGUAUGUUUAGCUCCGCAUCGGAAGCUGUAGAGUCCAUGACCAAAUAUUCGUAUUCCGAUCCACCUUACUCUGGCCCUGAAAAGUCAUAGUCCAACAAUUUAUAUUGAAAUUUGUCAUGGUGAUAACUUAACUACAUGUAAUACAUAUUCCUUUCGCUUGUACAUGUCUUAAAAUUUGCCAAAUGCUUAUAUGUCUUUGCCUUUCCUUUUGUAUAAUUGGUUGGGUAUUUUUAAUUGUAGGAAGAUAGUAAUAUUUUCAUACGUAUAAUUGUUUCAUAUCUCUUUUAUAGGUAAAUGAAGAUGUUAAUUAAUCAAAUAUUUUUCGUAUAUAUAGAAUUGUAUUAUAUAUUGUUUCUCCCCAAAAAAAAAGUGCUUUAGAUAUCAUUAUCAUAGGUAAGUAACCGUAUAUAAUUAGAAAUUUAAAUCUAUAUUUAUUAUCAAAGUCAAAAUAGUCAUACAACUAAAAAAUAAAUGCACAAAUUGGGUUAAAGUUGACCACACACACACAUACACACGCGCGCGCACACACACAUAUAUAAUAUGUUUGUGUGUUUGUUUGUUUUCUAUAUGUAGAGCUUAAUUAAUUAGGUUUGCAUGGUAUACAUAGUAUCCAAGCUAUGUAGCUAUCUUAUUUUUUUUUUUAUAAAAGUUAGCCUGCAUGAUUUCUAAUCCAUCAAUGUUUCUUUGUAGUUGGAGGUGUUCUAUUUCAUGCAUGCAAUAGUAGGAGCUGUCGCUUGGUAAAAUUAACAAGGGGUUUUUGAACUUUAAUUCUUGAAGAAGAUUAAAAUUUAAUAAAAAUUUAGUGUUAUAUUGAAUAUUGAUUUUAGUCUAUUAAUAUGUAUUUAAUUCAAAUUCAUAUUAUAUUUUUGUUUUUAUAUUUAACAGAUAACUUAUUUAAUGUUAUUACAUUAAAUUUUAUUUAACUUUCUCUAAUUAGUGUACCUAAACGUCUGUAUCAUAAUAUACUUUACUAAAUUAAUGUACCAAAAUGCCCGUACCAAAAUAUAUUGUAGUGAAUUAGUGACACAUAAGAAAAUAUGUAAAAACAUAAGUGUACAGAAAAUUCCGUACCUAACUAUAUGAUACUAAACUAGUGUACCAAAAUGUCGGUACCUAAAUAUAUUAUACUAAACUAGUGUACCGAAAUGUUCGCACCUAAAUAUAUUGUAAUGAAUUAGUGGCAGAUAAGAAAAUAUGCAAAACAUAAGUGUAAUGAAAAAUCUCUAUGAAAAAUAUUUUCUUAUAUAAGAUGCUUACCAUUAGAUGAUUCCACUAAAUGAUGCCUAUAUAUCCUCGAAUCUUACUUUUCCACUCCACUACAAACUUUCAUUGUCAAAACAAAAAAAAAAAACUCCCAACUUUUUAUACGCACUUAUUUCAAAAUUUUGCCUCUCUUUUGAAUCUUUUAUCAUGGCUUUUUCAAGCAAGAAGUCUAAACCAAUUAAGCUUUCCCCCUAUAAUCUUCCUUUGACAAGAGUUCGUAAUCGAGAAGAAGGUGAGUCUUUCAUUAAAGAGCACCAUGACAUUUUGGACGACUGUAACGUCUGGUGGGAACCUGGUCAUGAUAUCUAUGCUAAUCUGCACCGUUGUUUAGUCCUUGCUGUCUUUGUACUAGAAUCUACCCUUGGUUCUUGGACUUUGGUCUUCGUUUCCCUCUUUCUGCUUUUAUGAAAGCCAUUUUGUUAUGCUAUGAUAUAGCCAUCUGAAACCUCUCUUUUACCGCCUUCAAGCUUUUCACUUGCUUCGAGUUGUUGAAUUAGUGGUUCGGGGCUAAGUUGGAUAUCCCAGAGUUUAAAUGUUGCAUAGCUUCAAACCGAGUUUGGAUGACCAUUAUUAUUUUGCUGCUAUAACUAGUUUGGAUUAGGAGACAUACAUCAAGACACCCCUAAUCACCACAAGGAUUGGUUCAAAGACAUACUAAUUGUUAACGGAGCUUAGGAGGGAGAUAUUAGCGGACUCCAGAUCCGGAUUGAUCCUCCGACCGUUUAUCGCAAUUGGAAAUGGUUGUUCUCUACUGAGCACUUGAACAACCGUAAGAAGAUAUAGACGCAUUUCAUUGUUCAGGAUUCCCUAUAAAGAAGCUAGAGUAGGUUGAUGCUCGUAAUGAUCAUAGAAAAACUCGUUCCUUUAAAACAGCAUAGACUUUGUCACCUGUCCUAAAGAAGCGGAAACAUCCUAACAAUUCUUCUUCUUACUCAUUGGUUGUGACUCCUCAGCCACAACUGCUGAUUAAGGACAUCCAUUAUAAACCCCUCUUCGAAUAAGCACGUUGCUGUUCUGGCGCCACCAACUUUUAUUGUAUUUGCCUCUAUAUCCAUAGCAAAUAAGCCGCUUACUUCACCUCUUAUCCAUUUACCUGCGGUGUUGCCCCAAUUGUCGAAGUCAGAACCUAUUGUCCUCAUUUGGUUCUUCCACCAAGUUUUAUGUUCGUGCCAUACGAAAUUGAUGUGCCUUCCAUUUCCUCAACGUCCACUUUCGUCCAUCCGCUGCAAGUGCCUAUAUAUGAACCUUCCUGCCAUAAUGGUCCUCCAUUGAUUUCCCCAUCGAGGUCCAAGGGAACAUCUCGUCCUCCCUUUAUGAUCAAACCUUUGGCUGAUCGAGUUGCUUUUGCUUCUGAUGUCAGUGGUCUUCAAAACACAUAUGAUGCUCGGGUGCUGCAUGGGGCUACGAUUGCCACUACCGAUUUCAAGGGAGCCUACACUUCUCUUAAAUGUGACAUAAUGCAGUACUAUAGGAGUCAUUAUGAGAUACCCGAAUUUCUCUCCUCCAUUUCUUUUUGUUGAUAUGUUUCCCUCGUAUUAGGUUAAUGUGUGGACGAAUCUAGGAACUUAAACGGAUUACAGAUAUAGGCAAAACGAUGAUUGCUAUCCCAAUCAUAAGAACUUAAGAACUCGUAUACCAUGUAGCAAGCCUCGAAUACCACUCAUGAUGUAGAGAUAAUUCGGGAGAUUGAUCUAGCUACUGUUAUAGAGGUAAAGGCCAAAGAUUACAAGGAAAGUUUUGAGAAGGUUAGAGACGAGCUGAGGUUAGAGAAGCAAGCCAAGACGAAGGUGGACUAGGCUCUUGUUGUCUUAAAAGGAGAGUCGGAGCGUGUGUUAGCUUUAAAACAAAAUGUUUGGGCUAAAGAGCAGGAAGCUCUUCAAAAAAAGAGGUCGAGCAUCUAUGCUAAGAGGUCGAUCACAACGAUAACAAGCCCAUCGCGUACCUUUAGCAGCUUACUAACAGGUAUUCCUCUUAGACGUAUGUAUUCCAGGAAGAUCAUAAGAGGUUACUUGAAGAGGAGUUUGACGUCAGAUUCCUUACCGAUUACGCCCAACAAGAUCACCCUAAAGGUUGGAGCGUCUUCAGAAUUUAUGAGUAGAUCAAACACAUGGACUUUCCUCCUCCGCAUCAUUUGUUAGAUGAGAUGUCAGAUUUAGAGGCGGAGCAAAAUGAAUGUGAUCUUAAAGGUAAUCCGACACCUGAUGCCCUUGGUGAAUCUUCUACUCCAUUCAAGGGAAACGAUGUCCUGAAAAAGGAUUAAUUUGCACUUGCUCCUGGGUAGGAAAGGAGACUGUCCCUUUUGCAAACUUUUUGUCGUAAUACAAAGCUUUUUCUUUCAUUUCUUUCUCUACUCGGGGAAGAAAUCUUAAUCCUAUAAAUUUCUCUAAAGUAAACGAACUUUAUUUGAGAAAUAAGUGGCGGAGCGGGUACGAGUAAGUUUGUAGGUUCGGGACAAAGCUCAUCAACUCCCCUUGGAAACAUUGAUUCAGGGGAAUGUUGCCUCCUAAGAUUUGUAUUCAUAAAGUAUUCUCAUCAUGAUAUCUAGAAUACCACCUUAUUAUGGUAUUAGGAAUUAGACAUUAAACCCAUGAGAAAACUCUUGCUCUUACACUUAUUAAAAUACAUUCAUCAGGUAUAAGAGGUCCAAAUCAUGCCUGAUAACAUCUUAGAAGUAGAGGUCGAUUACCUCAAAACUUGCAAUGUGGUGCCAGAAUGAGUUUUCCCUGGUCCGAAUUGCGUGUUCAUUUCUAGUGAAUCUUACGCAAAAGUUCUUUGGAUACAUGGUCAUCAACAUGUGAGUCAAAAAUGCUUUUAGAAUCCUUUUGUUAGACCCUAUGUGUCGGACUUGAGCGUUUAUAAUCGGACUACUUUGGUUGGCUUGACCAAAGCAUUUUCGCUUACUGAAGCUCCAUUGGAAUAAAAUUCCUCUUUGGGAUUGCCUAGUUUGAAUGCCCUCUUCGAACCUGCUAACACUUGGUGUUGUAGAGCUUACUUGACUUAGUAAAUUAGUCUGGGAUAGAAGUAGUCGUACUCGGGGUCAGAUUUUAGAGCCACCCUCAGAUAAGUUCCAGAUCGCCCUUUUGACUAUUCCCUCGAAUGUGUAGAGCCCAGGUUUGGAAUGUUAUAACCCACAACCUUGCUGGUUACAUAAACUUUCUAGAGACUGGAUGGUGCAUUGGACUUCCAGGUCAAGGCGCAAUGUUCCUGUACCCAUAGCCCACCAGUCGUUACAACACUUAUUACUGUUCGAGUCUAACAAGCUGCUAGCCGUUCCAGACGGAUAAGGCUAAAGAAGGCUCUUAUGAUAGUGUAAUUUUGAAUGUUUUUAGACUUGUAUUCGUGUAAAGUUUUCAAAGUUUGGGGCCUAUUUUUUAACGAGUGGGGUACUCCCUACAUCAUCGAAAAAAUAAAGAAAAGAAUACGUAUUUAAGACAAACAGAUGCUCGUUAUUCAUGAUCGAAGUAAAAUUGAUUGACAAGAGGGUGUGAUUGAAUCUGAGAAGGAUUGCCUACAUAUUUAUGAGAUGGAGAAUCAAAUUACUGAUAUAGUUCUAAAGAAAAUAUGAUAUAUGUAAAAAUUUACAUGAAAGAUCACUUUUGACGAUAAGCCUAUAGGGAGGCGUUGGGGGAUGAUUUCUCAAUGGACUUAUCUUCACACAGAUGGGGGCGUUACCGAACUGCCUACAUAUCUCAGGAAGGGAAUCAAACCGUGUGUAUUUCAUGUGAGAUUUACUUUGUUUUAGGUCACUUGGAGAGGCUUGCAAGGGUUUUAAUUUUCUUUCUUCAACAAGGAUUUCAUCCAUCGGCACAAGUCCUCUGGUUUCUAUGUCAUUGAACCUUUUGCUGCUUGGCAUCAAUUCGGAGUAGUGAGGUGGGAUUCUAUCUUUAAAGGGGACUUUUGCCAUGGCGUAUAACCAUUCUCGGCCAAAGAAAGCGUUGUAUAGAGACAAAUUAUCCAUCACUUGGAAAGUCAUCAGAUGUUCAGAUGGUUUUGCUUGAACCAUGAAAUGUAUUGUCCCUAUGGUGUUAAGCGGGGUUCCAUUAAGGGUUUGGACAUUGGAUCUUCAUGAGUUGACUUCAUCUAGGAUGUUAAUUGAUAGGGAUUUUUACCAUCUACAAAAGUAGAGAUAAAAACACUUAAAAAUACUUGCAAGAGUACAAGGUUGUCGUAGUAUAGUGGUUUAGGCAAGGUCGUUUUCCACCGAGAUUGAAUGAAUAAUUUGUGUUUAAAACCAACACUUAAUUAAUUAUUUAAAACAAAGUUUGGAAAAUGUUGAUUUUAGAAUUUAAUAUAAUAAAAACGAAUUUUAAAAUAAAACAAUUAAAGAAAUUAACUAGAGAACAAUUUAAAGAAAAACAAUUUGUAAAAGCCUAGGGUUCCGCCGUCCCCUUAACAAUCCUACGCAAUUUUACUAAUUACUUAUGAAUUUCCACAUAUAUACUUUGAAGGUUAGGUUUUCCUAAUGCAUAUUUUCCUUGUGUGUUUAAGCGAAAACGUAUAUCUAACAUGCAACCCGUCUGUGAUGUUCAGAUCAAAUAUAAACAUGCAAGACUCAUUAAGCUUUAUGAAAACCCUUUGAAAAACCAUGCAACCCUUAAGAGCGUGAUAUUCACCUUAAGUGAACUUACAAUUACUAAUCACAAGAAGCCCUCCUCAAUUUCAGGGUGAUGUUCCAACAGAAAUUGCAUCAAAUUACUUGUCUAAAAACCCUAAUGGUUGCGAAUCACUAAGACAAUUAGAUAGUUUGAUCGCAGUGAUUAAUAAUUCAAAGUAAGCAUGCAUCCAUUCAUAAGCAAAUUAAUAAAAUCACAUAUUCAUGCUAAGGCUUGUGGCAUCGCCCUAGCAAAAGAACUUAGUUACGAACAAUCAUGAAACAAAAUAUUAUUGAGAAUAAGGAUAGAAAACGCCUAGAAAAUAAACUUGAAAAACUCUCUAAAGUGUGCGUGCGUUCUCUCCUCUCCUUCCCUUCUAACCCUAAUGGCUAAAAGGUCUUAUUUAUACUACUACAAAAUAAAACCUAAAAAGUCUUAGAAUAAAACUAGGAAACAUAAUAAAAUAAUAAAACAUAAAAUAAAAGGUUUCCUAUUUGAACUAAAAUUCGGAUUUCUUAGAAAAUCAGACUUUUGACCGACCAAAUUAACUCUGAUUUGUCCCAAAAAGUCUCUUUUGAAAGAUGGAGACGUCCCCUACAAAUCCUCAGAAGAAAUCUUCCUCAAAAUAUUCCAUCUUGACCUUCAAAAUGCCCAAAACGUCCAGAAAGGUCAGUCUGGAAAAGCUGCGCGCUGGGCCUUUAUUUCAUAACCACGGUCAAACGGCUUAGUAGAAAAAUAUAGAAUUUUGACACAAUCAUCUUGAAAGACUCACGAACAUCCUCCAAUUAGAAUUACUCUAAAAUUAAUCUGUUUGAUCACUUUUUUGCUCCAGAGGAAAUUGAAUGUCCAACUUUAGAAAUAUAGUUCAAAGUAUCAAAAUUCUACCAAAAUAACUAGGGUAAAUUACAUAGUAGCCCCUCAGGUUUGAGGUCUAUUACAACCCCAUACAACAACUUUAAAACAUUUCACUUUCAUACAUCCAUUGCCAUUUUAUUUCAAAAUAACACCUCUGUUAGAUUUUCCAUCUAUUAGUCUGUUAAAUGCUGACGUGGCUACCACAUUUAUGCUGAUGUGGCUGCCACGUGGAAAAAAUAUUUUUUAUACAUUAAAAAUAUUAUAAUAUUAACCCAAUUAAAAUAUUAAAAAAAACAUAAAAACCCUAACCUAGAUCCCCUUUCUCCCCCCUCUCUUUUAUGCAAUCCCUUCCCACUAUCCCUCACCCACCCCCCAGCGACCUCUCCCCAAGCGACCCACAUCCCUAUCCCUAACCUAGAACCCAAAAACCUGCAACAAGAAGAAGAAAAAGAAGAAGAUGAGGGAGGAAAAAAAAAACCCCCAGUUUGUCCCCUCUUCAAAACCUGCAAGAAGAAGAAGACGAAGAAGAGGGAGAAAAAAAAGAGAAAAAAAAGAAAAAAAAAAGCCCAGUUCGCGGGAAGGUCGCCGAAAGGUCGCGCGAGGGGGGGGGAAGGGAAGUCGGUCGCGGGUCGCGGCAGAGCGGGGGGAAGGGAGAUGGGUCGUGGGUCAUGGCAGGGCCGGGGGGGUUUUCUUUUUUUUUUCUUCUUCCUCCCUCUUCUUCUUCUUCUUUUUGUUGUUGCAGGUAUGUGGGUCGCUUAAAGGGGGUGAAGUCUUUGGGGGUGGGGUUCGGGGUGGGUAAGGGAUAGUGGGAAGGGAUUGCAGAGAGGAGAGGGGGAAGAAAGGGGAUCUGGGUUCAGAGGGUGUGUAGAGAAGGAAAGAAGGUGGGUGCGGAGGAAGAGAGGGUUGCGGGUUAGGGGGGUGCACAGGGAGGGUCGACGUUUGGGGGGGGGGGCGGGGGUGUUCUGGGUUUCUGGUUUUGGGGUGGGGGGUUAUCAUUUUUGGGUUUUAGGGAACAAGAUGAAGAUGGGGGAUAUAGGUUUGGGGGUUGCUGGGAGAAGAGAGGAUUUUGGGAGUUGCAAAAGGGUGGGGGUGGGGGAGGGGGGAAGGAAGGGAUAUGGAAUUCGGGAUUUUCUAGUUUUUUUUGUUUUUUUAAUUGGGUUAAUAUUAUAAUAUUUUUAAUGUAUAAAAAAUAUUUUUUUCUACGUGGCAGCCACAUCAGCACAAAUGUGGUAGCCACGUCAACAUUUAACAGACUAAUGGAUGAAAAAUCUAACGGAGGUGUUAUUUUGAAAUAAAAUGGCACUGGAUGUAUGAAAGUGAAAUGUUUUAAAGUUGUUCUAUGGGGUUGUAAUUUACCCUCAAAUCUGAGGGGUUACUAUGUAAUUUACCCAAAUAACUAAUAUAUUAAUACUAAGAUAAGGGUAAAAUAUAUGGUAAUAUGGACUUAUCACUAAUCCUUAUAGCUACCUCCUGAAGAGGAUAUUGACUUCCGAUCCGUUAUCGAUUAGGACUCUGCCGACCAUAGUGUCUUUGAUUUACAACUUGACUGCAAGAGUGCCAUUGGAUGGUGGGUAAACAAUUUAUGGCCUGGUUAAGGGAUCUUUCAUCCAAGGUUUUCCUUGGGUCAUUUUCCUUCCCUUCUGCGCUUUCUUGAAAUACUAUUGUCUUCUCCUUAUGUGAUUGAUGCCUGGAUGGACUUCAUGCCUAGGUGUUAGGGAGGCAGUGGUUAGGGAAUUUCCCGCAGUCUUGUAAAUUACACUACUAGGAGGGCUUCCUAGAUCAACUAUUGUGAAUUUGUCGUUCCUGGGGGAGCUCGAAUAGUAGAAUUUUCAAAUCGGGUGAAGGUACCUUCUACAGUUUUCAUUCUUUCAUUCAGCCUAGCGAGCUUCACCCUUUCUCCUACUUGUAGGUUCUUCUUGAGCACUUUUAUUGACAUGUGUACCUUCAGGACGUUAUCCCAGACCUGGUCGAUGAAAGAGGCUUCUUCUCUAUUCGGGUAUACGGUUUGACCAAACAGCAAUUUUCUGGACGUGGUAUCCGUGGAGCAAAGUGGUCUGGUCGAGAGGAAUAUGGGUUUUCUUUUAAUGAAAGCACCAAUUGUUGAAACCAAAUCUACGCACCUCCGUGAGCGGCGGUUGGGCACAAAUCCGAGUAAACCUGAACAACCUACAAAAGGCUCUUCGAUAGUCAAGCAGUAGGCAAGAGAAUUCAAAUGUAUAGGUUACGUUACUGUAGAUGAACCCUAAACGGGUGUAUUUAUACUAUGAGAGAGAGACAUUUUUAGGAUAGAUCCUCAUUUUAAGCCGGGAGAAUCAUAGAGGAUAUUAGUGAGUAGAUAUUGCAUCUUCUUAGGAGUUGUGAUCACUUGCGGAGCAUGCCUAUCCCUAAAUUGUAGGGACUCCAAGACUUAUAGGAUCUGAUUGUGUCCAUAUCCAGAUCACAUCACAUGUCUUGCAAAACAAGUAUGGUCAUAUGGUGGAGUCACUAGGACUCUGCCUAGGGCCCCAUAGUAGAGUGAUGGUGGCACCCUUCUCCAUUUGAUACAGCUUCACCCGGAGUUGGUAGUGAGUCCAUGAUUGAACUCUUGAGAUAACGGUAUUCGGUUUAGCCUUACUCCGAUCCUGAAAAAUCAUGGUCCCACAUGAGCAGACAAACAUAUUUAGGUGAUUCUGUAAAUGAAUAAUUCCAUCGUGUAUUACGGUGCUCCUACAGAAAAUGGUCCCAAAUUUCUAUCACUUCCAUUCAUUUAUCAGCAAUAGCCCAAACGCCAAACCUCAUUUUUUAAAAGUCACCUGGUAUUAAGCUAAAUAAGUCAAUUAAUUAAGUAUGUAAUUGAGUAAUUAACUAAUGGUGGUGAGAUGAUGAGAAAUGGAAAGUACAAGAGUAUCCUGCACAGAACCACCGUAAACAAGGACAAGACAAGAAUGUCAUGACUAGUGUUAUUGGAGCCGCCAGCAGGUCCUCAUUUACAGCUUGUGAACGCCGACAAUCCACCAGAGUAUAAGACCAAGAAGUAUGGCUACCAUGUUUACUGUAAGAUCAACAAGCAUCCCCAGUAAAUAAAAGAAAAACUAACGAAAAGUUAAAAAAAGACUUUAGUUUUAAUGAAAAAUGACAAAUAAAGGUGUAAUGAAUAGUAUCAGGGAAAAGUAAAAAUGUGAUUUUUCGUUAAAAGUGAACAAUACCAGGAGUAUUUGUUAAAACUCCCCAUAAAUAAAUACUAUGAAGUGGGUGGUUUUUGUUUUUUUUAUUUUUAUUUCCUUAUUUUGUGUUGGUGAAAUUGUGGGUGGUGAGUACCAUAUUUGUAUGAAAUAAUAAUUUGAAGUCAAGGUGAUGAGCAAAAUCUUACUCGAUUGUAUAUUAUUAUGGAAGUUGAGAUUUGUUGUCGGAUUCGACAUUCUUCUUAUCCCUCUAACUCACAACAAGUCUGAUCAAAUUCUCAUUUGGUGUCCAAGAUAAAUUUGAAUGAAUAGCCCACAAUAUUUAUUGUAUGUUGAACAAACAAAUGAAAAUUUUGUAUCCAAUUUAAAGUAAAAGAUGAAUUACUCAUACAGAAAACUUGUACAUUCAAAUUUCCUCCAAAAUGACAAGAUUCUUUGGGACACUUUGGAUGCGAUCCCUAGCUAUCAAUAUUCUUUGAUUGAAACCUUGUUAGUUUUUAGUUUUUGAUUGAGGUCCCUGAUAUUAAUGUAAUAAUGUAAGUUACUAUAUUUUUUUAAUUAAAAAUUAAAAAUUGAAAUUUGUAAUUGUUUAUAUUAAUGAGAUUUUAAAUAAAACCCAUAAUUUAUGGGAUUAAAAAUAAUAAAAUAUAAAUUAUUCUCUCUAUUAUAUUGUGUGUGUGUGUGUGUGUAUAUACAUAUAUGUAUGGGUACAUUAACCAAAAUUAACAAAAAAAGUUAUUGUACCAAAACAUGGAUACAUUCUCAAAUCAACGAAAAAGAAUGUACCCAUAUAAGUUUAAACAUGGAUUAAAAAAUUUGAAUGGAUUUUAUAUUAAAAAAGGGUACAUUUUACAUAUAACAAAUUGAUAUAUUUGAGAAUGGGUACAUUUAAGAUUAAAAAAAUUGAAAAAUUAUAUGAAUGGGUACAUUUAAGAUUAAAAAAUUGAGAAUCUUUUUAUAUAUAAAAAAAACUAAUAGGUACAAACUUAAUUUAAUUUAAUUUUUUAUUAUUUUGGAAAUGUUUGAAUUGAAAAUUAAUUAGAAGUUUAAUAGAGGUGUGAGUAUUAAACCCUAAAUUAAUUACUAAUUUUUAUAUUAAAAAAAUUAUAUAAUAAACAUGUAAAUUCAUUAUCACAUUAAUGCUAGGGACUUGAAUCAAAAUUAAGAACUAAUAAGGUGUUAGUCAAUGAACAGUAAAAACUAGGGACUGGAUACUAAUUUUUCCUUAAAAAUAUAACUUUCAUUCAUAUCUACUCAAAAUGAAGAAAACCAUUUACCUCUACAUUCAUCUUUAUGUACUUGGAAUUUUACGAGUUAUCUAUUACAAUCCUAGAAAUCAAAUGACCUUAAGAAACAAAGAAUCAGAAUAUUUAAACUUAGGACAUUGGAUACAAAAGUGUAUAUUCUUAAUCACUACAGUUCAUUUCUUAAACUUUUAUAGUUUAGAAUGCAUAAUCUAUAAAAGCUUUAUUUACAGAAGAAAAGAAAGAAAAUGAGGAGACACGAUUGAUUUGUACAAAAAUAAUAUUGUACAGGCAAAGUCACAUCCCAGAACCAAUUUUGGGAGAGGUUUUGUUUGUUUGCAAGUAAAACAAGUAGAUGUUUUUAACCUUUUACCCUCCAAAACAAGUUCAAGAACGUUCUACUAGUUAGAACAAUAAUAGUAGGGUGGAAUGCUGAUUUAAUCUCUGAAUUAUUACCUCAGUGAAAAUUAGGUCCCUGAAUUAUUUUUCGGUAAAAUAAGUCCCUAAAUUCAUUAAAAAUUGCUAAUUUCAUCCAUACUACUAUAUUAAAAGCUAGUUUAUCACUUUUUUGUCAACUUAAGUCACUUGACACAUUUUAAAGUAAAAUACCAACAUUUUCUCACGUAUAAGCCAUUAACAUUUCAUACAGGUUACCAAUCUAAGGUCUAAUUUUUACCCUCCAAAGUUAACUUCAUAUACUAUUUCUUUAUGUAAAAUUACUAAUCUACUCUCUAAUGUGUAUCAUAUGCAAGUACCUUGACUUAAGUUGACGGAAAAUUGAAUAUAAUAGCUUUGAAUAUAAUAUUAAGGAUGUAAUUGGCAGAUUUUUAAAAUUCAAUGAUUGAUUUUCCUCAAAAAAAUAAAAAUAUUAAAGACCUAACUUUUACUCAGGUGAUAAAUUAUUCAGGAACUAAAUUGGCAGUUCACUCAUAGUAAUAAUGACAGACCCCGAC
rnacentral:lncRNA from 1 species